UUUUUUUUUUUUUUGUUGGGAGCAUCGCUAUGAAUAAACAUUGUGUGAGUUUGAAUUAGCUGGAUUCAUCUCAAUACAAAUAUUAGAUACGAAAUUAGAAACGAAAAAGAAAGAAGAUGAAGAAAAUACAAAGAUGUCAUUGUUAUUUUAUUUAUGUGUUAUAAUCACAUGAAUAUAUAUUAAUAUUUGUAGACAUGAAGAAGAUGUCAAAAUAAGCAUACACAAAUAUAAUAGGUAUAUUCUUUGGGAUAAAAUUCAUUGAAACAAUUAUAUAGGGACAGAGCUAGAAUGAUAAAUAUUGGUUAUCGAGUUUAGUAGCUUUAAUAUAUAAUCAAUUACUAAUACGUGAUAUAUAUAGCUAUCUUGAGAAUUCAUAGUGCAAAUUCUUAUUCCGUUUUUAUUGAAGAGGUUAUAAUGCAACCUUAGGGGUUGUUUCACGUUUGGUAUGGCAGAUAAAGAUCGACAAUAUCUCUUAUCCCACCAAUCAAAUACAGAAUAAUAUAGUUCCGUAUUUUAUUUCCUAAGGGAUCGUUUCACGUUUGGUACAGUGAAUAAAUAUAAUAAUCUCGUGAUAAAAUUUAAGAUUAACUUUAUCCCAUAUUUGAUGUGAAAUAUUAGCUUAUUCGUAAACGGCCAUCCAUAUAAAAGACCCUACUUAUUCGAUCUAGUAUAUUACGAUUCCUAAUGUUACUAUCUCAUCCUGUGUACCGAACGACGUGGUAUACACCUGUGUAUGGUACAAUUUGAAUCAGGAAAUUAAAGGAUAUGAUCAGACUGACCAUAUUGGACUUGCAAAAUGUGACUUAUCAUACGUACUAUUAUUACGACGUCGUUUUGUGCUAAAACCCAGCUCCCAAGAGAAACAGGCCGGGUCGGGCCCAUUUAAAAAAAUGGUCCCAAAGUAAGCAGACACUGGAAAAUGACUAACCUCACACCUGGCCCACUAAAGUUAUUAAGAUAAUACAUUGGACACAAUUGGGACCAUUUUACCCCUAUGAGAUUUUCCGCUAAGAGUUUGUUUUGGAGUUUAAUUAAUUUGAAUUCACGUUGUAAAUAUAUUAUUUUGAGAGUAAAGUGUGGUAGAGUAUAAGACACAUUUUUAGUUUUAGGAUUUGACUUCGGAAUUUUUUGUUGAGGAUGAAUGGGUACGUACUAUGAGUUUUGUUGAUUACUGUAGUCGGGGAAGGAUUCAAGAUUUAAGCUUUAUGAGUUCAGUUUGUAAAGUUUUUAGUAUUAUAUUCAUUGUAUAUUUUUAAAAUUAUGAAUUCAAAAGAAUUGAGUUCAAAUGAAUUUGAUAGCACAACUCUAUAUCUAUUGUGACUCUAGUAUCUCUUUUCUUAUUUUUCACUCAAUAUCGAGCAUUGGCUUUGAAUUGAGAUGUACAAAUUCAUUAAAGAGUUACAAAAUGAGAUGUAGACAUUAUUCUUUAAAUAAACUAAAAAAAAUUAUAUAGAAAAAAUUAUAUAUAAUAAUUAUAAAUAAAAAUACAAAAAUUAUUUUAAAAUUACUGCAUUUUACUCAAUUUAUUUUGAGAGUAGUAAUAUUCAUAAUUAUCGACCGUAUUUCAAAAUUACUCAAACUCAACACCUUUAAAUAAAAGAUUUAAAAAUACUUCCUUAUUCAUAAUAAUUCAUUAUCUGAUACUCACAUUAAAUUAAAGAUCGAUUAAUUCAAAUUUCGAUCGAAAAUUUCAUUUUGAAUGACGAAAGAUUCAUCCAUAAACAAAUCACAUCAAAAGUACUUAUAACAACAAACAUGAGAUGGAAAAAAGAAAAAAUGAAAGUUUGGCCAAAAAAAGAAAAAACAGUUCUCACGUGCUGAGGUGGCACCCACAUAAAUAGUAGUUGCUGAGACAGUAAUUAAGACCUCACCUGCAGGUCAAAAUACCCCCACCCACCAACAAGUACAAAAUGACCAAUUUUUUUUAUUUUUUUUUAUUUAUAUUAAAGUUUGAUUAAUUUAAAUUCGAAUAAAAAUAAAUUAUUUUAAAAAAAUACUUAUCAUUUCAUCAUAAUUGUUAACGUAUACAAAAUAUAUUACUACUAUGUUUUGGUAGGAAGGAAAACUACUAAAUUGAUAUACUCUAUGUUUCAAUUUAUAUGAUUAACUUUUUUAAUAAUCUUAAAAAAAUGAUACGUUUCUAUAUUUUAAGAAGAUAUAAAUAGCAAUAUAAAAAAUGAGUAAUUAGUUUGUCUGGUAUAAUUGAGCCAACGCUGUUGCCUGCGGCGACGCAGACAAUUAGUAAGAAACGGUACACUCGAUUACUUAACGCCGUUACUUUGCCCCUAGUACUCCCGUUUCUAUUUUGGUAAAACGUUAUGUAUCGAGGGUUUAUUAGAAUCAAUUUCUUUAUUUAAUAAAGAUAAUGUUUGAUUAAUUUUUUAAGUCAAUAUAAGUUAUUUAAAUAUCAUUUAGAGCGAAGGGUAUAGUUAUAAAUAGAUUCAGUUUAGAAGAUUAAUUGUUAGCUUCAUUUGUUAUCUUCUUUUACGAUAUAUUGUUUUUAGCUUCGUAUAUUAUAUAUCAUCUAUUUAUCUGGCCUCGUCACUGCUCAACACCUUCAAAAAAUGAAAAAACUUCGUUCGAUGACCCCAUAAUCAUCAUUUGAAAGAUUAAAAUAUGAUAUAUGUGGAGAGUUCGUGACUCAGUCGAAAAAUAGUAUAUGCAAAUAAUUUGUGAUGGAAUGACUAAGUCGAAAAAUAAUACAUGUGAAGAAUUUGAAAUGCACAGACUUAAUAUUUAUUGUCCUAUGUGAUAUCUACGUGAAUAUGUUUUCCACCCGAUUAAAAUCAAAUCACAAUAUAAUUUUUCUAAUCCGAUCCAAUAUAUAUUACAUCCGAUCAGCAAAUCUAAUAAACUGAGAAUGCACCAAAAACAAAUUAAUUUAGUGCUUAAAAUGAUCUAAAAAAGUGCUUAAUUUGUGCUAAAAAUGGUGCUCAAAUAUUCUAAUUUAUAUCUUCAAUAGUUGUUGAAAUGGAGCCAAAAAACAUUUGCACAGUGAUUAAUUUGUUGUUGCAAUUUGUGUGCUUAAUCGUGUUUUUAUACUUAAUAAUUAGAAAUGCAGCCUCACUAUUACACUUUGAAUAAUUAGAAUAAGAUAAAUAAAACUUUGAAGAUAAUUUUUAUACUCAAUAAAUUUCUCUGAUUUUAUCCUCUCUAGGAAAUUCUAUUUUUUCUAUAUAUGUUGCAAAUUCUCUAUUUCCUUAAAAUAGUUAUAUCCGUGAGCUUGUUAUCUCUUCAAUUGCUUUUUUGGUUGUGUUAAUUUUUGUUAUUUUACUCAACCAAUUUUUUUUUUCUUUUUAUAUUACAUCUUCAUCUUGUCGAGGAUCUAUCAAAAAUAGUCUCUCUAACUCACAAAAAUAAUGAUAAAAUCUACUUAUAUUUAUACUCUCAAAUUUAUUCGUGAGAUUACACUAAAGUGUUCAUUUAAAAUGAACGGGGAUCAAUUUUUUUAUACAAGAUUCCUCAAAAUAAAAUAAAAUAGUAUAUGCGGAGAAAUUCGAGGUGGACCGACCAAUUAAAAAAUAGUAUAUGCGGAGAAUUCGAGGUGGACCGACUCAGUAAAAAAUAGUACAUAUAGAGAAUUCGAGGUGAAUCAACUCAGUCGAAAAACCUAUGCGGAGAACUCGAGGCAACCAAAUCAGUAUAUAUUCUAAAAAAUAGUACAAAGAAUUCGAGGCAACCGAUCUCAUAUUUAUUGAAGCAAAAAUAGUGUGGAAAACUCAAGAUAGCCGAUUUUAUCAAAAAAUAGUGAGAAAAACUCGAGGCGACCGAGUCAGUAUUUAUUCAGUCAAAAAAUAGUGCAAAGAAUAUGAGGUGGUCGACUCAGUCGAAAAUAAUACAUGUAGAGAAUUCAAGGUGAGACAAAUCAAUAAAAAAAUAUUACAUGAAAAAAAUUUGAGGUGGAUAGAAUUAGUAUUUGUAGUCCUAUGUGGCAUGUACGUAAAUAUAUUUUUCUCCCAAUUAAAAUCGGCUCAGGAAAUAAUUAUUCUAACUCGAUACAAAGUUACAGCCGAUAAAUAAAUCCAAUAAACUGAGCAUGCACAAAAAAAAACUAAUUAAUUUAGUGCUGAAAUUGUGUUGAAAAUGGUCCAAAAUUGUGCUGAAAAUAAUUUAAUUUAUAGCUUCAAUAGUUAUUGAAAUAUAACAAAAAAAAAAUCUGCACAAUGACUAAAUAUAAAAUAUUUUAAUAUAAUUUAAUCAGCUGCUAAAUCAAGAAAAUGUAGUUAUAAAUAGAUUAAUUUUUGAAGAUCCUAACAUCAUUUAUUAUCUUUCUUUAACGAUUUGUUCUUGUGAGCAUCAUAAUCCAAAUUUAACAUGGUCAUCUCCUUUUUAUUAGGAAUCAACACUAUAAAAAAACUAAAAAAUUUACCCUUUGAAUGACUAGAAUAAGAUAAAACUUGAAGAUAAUUUUUAUAAUACAAAUUUCUUCUCCAAUUUUUUCCUCCUAUGUUGUAAAUUCUCAUUUUCCUUGUAUAUUAGUUCUCUUCAAUUACUUUGUUGGUUGUGUUUAUCUUUAUUGUUUUACUGUUUUAGAAGAUUUUUUUAAUAAUACGUUAUUUUGUUGAGGAUAUAUCAGAAAUAAUCUCUUUAACUUAUGAAAAUAGUGAUAACUUCUAUCAUCUUCAAAUUUCAUUCGAGAUUACACGAAAUAUACAAAUAUUAUUCCACUGAAAUGAACGUGAACUAAUUUUUAAACCGGGUUCCUAAAAAAAACACUACAAGCGGAGAAUUCGAAGUGGGGAAACUCGAUCAAAAAGUAAUACAUUUGAAAAAAUCGAGGUGGACCGACUCGAUUGAAAAAUAAUGGAGAGAAUCUCGAGCUGGAUCGACUCGACCGAAAAACAAUGGAGAGAAUCUCAAGCUGGACCGACUCGAUCGAAAAACAAUGGAGAGAAUCUCAAGUUGGACCGACUCGACCGAAAAACAAUGGAGAGAAUCUCGAGGUGACCGACUCAUUUAAAUUUUUUUGCAGAGAAUUAAGCCUAUCUCCUCAAUAUUUAUUCACACAAAAAAUAGUUGGAGAAUUCAAGCUGAUCAACUCAGUAUUUAUUCACACAAAAUAUAAAGUCUUCAAAUUUCAUUCGAGAUUACACGAAAUAUACAACUAUUGUUUCACUCAAAUGAAUGUGAACUACUUUUUUAAUCAUGUUCUUAGAAAAGUUAUAUCCGUGAGUUUGUUAUCUCUUCAAUUGCUUUGUUGGGGUUGUGUUAAUUUUUGUUAUUUUACUAAAAAAAAUUAGUUUUUUUUUUUUGUCUUUUGGAUAAUACAUCGUCUUCUUGAGGAUCUAUAAGAAAUGGUCACUCUAACUUACAAAAACAGCGAUAAAAUUUACAGGUAUUUUAUCCUUUCAAAUUUAUUCUCGAGAUUACACUGAAUUGUUCCUUUAAAAUGAACGCGGAAGAAUUUUUUAUUCUAGAUUACUAAAAAUGAAACAAACACUACAAGCGAAGAAUUCGAGGUGGACCGACUCAAUCAAAAAAUAUUAUUCCACUCAAAUGAAUGUGAACUAAUUUUUAAAUCAGGUUCCUAAAUGAAACACUACAAGUGGAGAAUUCGAAGUAGGGAAACUCGAUCAAAAAGUGAUAUAUUUGAAAAAUCGAGGUGGACCGACUCGAUCGAAAAACAAUGAAGAGAAUCUCGAGAUAGACCGACUCGACCAAAAAACAAUGGAGAGAAUCUCGAGGUGACCGAAUCGACCGAUAUACAAUGGAGAGAAUCUGAGGUGGACCGACUCGACCAAAAAACAAUGGAGAGAAUCUAAAGUUGACCGACUCAUUUAAAAAAAAAUUGCGGAGAACUCAAGGCUACCUGCUCAGUAUUUAUUCACACAAAAAAUAGUGUGGAGAAUUUGAGGUGAUCGACUGAUACUCACACAAAGAAUAGAGUCUUCAAAUUUCAUUCGAGAUUGCAUGAAAUAUACAAUUAUUGUUUCACUCAAAUUAAUGUAAACCACUUUUUUAACUAGGUUCUUAAUAAAAACACUACAAGCGAAUAAUUUGAAGUAGAGCAACUCAAUUGAGUGAAGAAUUUGAGGUGUCCAACUUAGUCGAAAAAUAGUGUAGAGAAUUCGAGGUGAUCAAAUCAUUCGAAUAGUACAUGCGGAGAACUCGAGGUGAAACAUGAGUUAAAAAAAUAAUGCACGCAAAAUUUCAAGGUGAACAGACUCAAUACUUAUUAUCCUAUGUGGAUAUAUAUUUUCUCUCAAUUAAAAUUUACUCACAAUAUAAUUCUUUAUGCGAUCUAAAAUUUCCCGAUCAACAAACUCAAUAAAUCGAGAAUUCACCUAAAACUAAUUAAUUUAGUGCUGAAAAAGAUCUAAACUUGUGCUGAAAUAGUGCUAAAUUUGUGCUGAAAAUUAUCUAAUUUAUAGCUUUAAUUGUUGUUGAAAUGCAACCAAAAAACAUCUGCACAAUGAUUAAUUUGUGCUGAAAAUGCAACCAAAAUGCACUUCUACAGUCGAUCGACUCAGUCGAAAAAUAAUACAUGUAAGAGAUUAUAUUUGAGGUGGACCGAUUUAGUCGAAAAAUUGUGUGAAGAAUUCAAGGUGGAUCGACUUCGUGGAAAGAUAGUGCGAAGAAUUCAAGAUAACUGAUUCAGUAUUUAUUUAGUCAAAAAAUAAUGCACAAAAUUUGAGGUGACGGACUCAAUCAAAAAGUAGUGCGGAGAAUUCGAGAUAGGCUACUCAAUCGAAAAAUAAUGUAGAGAAUUCGCGAUGAACAACUUAGUAUUUAUUCAGUCGAAAAAUAGUACCGAGAAUUUAAGGUGGCCGACUCAAUCGAAAAAUAAUGGCAGAGAAUUCAAAACAACUGACUUAAUAUUUUUUCAAUCGAAAAAUAGUGCAAAGAAUUCAAGAUGACCGAUUCAAUACUUAUUCGUAAAUAUUAUUCUAAAAUUAAAUUACUUCGCUUUAAAUUGUGGUAAUAAAACUAAACUUACUUGAUAUAUCGAUAAAUUAAAAUCUCUCACCCACUUAAUAUCAUAACUUAAUAAACUAAAUUGUCUUAAAAAUAAUAUAUUUUGUUUUACCUAGUUUAGGGUAAUAAACUUUUAAUUAUAGUAAAACUGAAAGAUAAAAACUCAUAUAAUUUAGCAUGCCGGUACAUUUGACGCCGUUAGUAACAAACCCAAAUAGGACAGUAUCAAUUGCUCUUUUUUUUCCGUCAAAAAAUAUGUUGUCACCCAAAUAACGUGGUCCCAUAGUUAUAAAAAAAAACUAACCAUGGUUAGUUUUAGGAAUGGAACUAGUAACAUGCAUGCAGGAUCAAACUCAACAGAUUUUGCUUAAAUUAAAUAGUUAUGUUAAUAAAUACAUUAAAUAUGUAUAAACAUUAAAUUUAACAUUCAACUAUUAUCAUUUAAAAUCAUCAUUAUAAAAUUCAGAACUAAUAAAUUGAAAUCUUAGCUUCAUAACUUGUUUCUAUUUAUUUUUUUUAGUUUCACAUUUGGUAUCAGAUGUCCACAUUAAAGUCUCGAUUAAAUUUGGGUUGCGCACUACAAGACUCAUUUUGUGUGUGUGUGUGUGUAUAUAUAUAUAUAUAUAUGUUGAGUUUUAAAAGGUGUGAAUGAAAAAUAAAGAGUUGUAAUGUUUGUGAAGAAUUAUGACUUUUACGAAGAGUUGUGACUUUUAUGAAAAGUUGCGACUUUUGCGACUUUUUCAAAGGGGGUGACCUUUUGAAUAAGGUACAAUAAAAUCAUUGAGUGAUUAGCUAACACCGAUGUUUUAGGACAAUACAUCAAUGAGUAAAACCAUUCUAUCCUGAGAGGAUAUAUUCUAUCAACAUAACCUCGGAUACUGUAACGACCCGAACCGUCGUUAUUUAGGAGAAACAAAAAUUCAGGAAAAUUUUGGGCCACUGUCCCGCCAGAGCGGGAUAGUUGCCGCUAGGGCGGCGGCGCCAGGGAGGGGUAAGUUGGCGCCAGAGCAGAGGCGAGGCAGAAUGUAAAUUACGAGAAAUCCUAUUUUUUCCAUCUUCCUAAAAUACCUAAAUAAGUCGUAAAACAUCCUAGAAACCUCAGAAAAGUUGUUCUAAGGUUGGGAAAAAGGGAGAGAGAGAUUUCUAGAGUGAAGAUGUCGAUGGAUUGUGAAUUUUUGAUCAAGAUCACAGUCACGAAUUCCGGAAACAUGAAUCGAAGACCAAAACUCCGUGCAGCUGCUUGGAGCCCAGGUAGGCAAGGUUUUAUGAAUUGAGUAGUUUAAAUCUGUGCUUACUGCGUAACAUAUGUGAAUCGAUGGUAGGAUUUAUACGUAGACCUUCGUGCACCGAAUGAUUAUUGAUUUAAAUCCUAGAAAUAAGCCUUAGGCGAUGAAUUAGGGCUGAGUAUGGUCGAAUUAGGGUUGCAUGAUGUGUACUGAUGAAUAAUCCAUUAUAGGUGAUGAUUAUGAUUCUAUGUUUGUGUGAUGCACGUUUGUUCUUGCUUCAUUAUGAUACAUGUGUGUACACGAAUGUUGCAUUAUUGAUCAUACUUGUUGUAAGUAGAUAAAUGAAUGAUGGUUACCAUGAAAUUAUGACUUAAAUGUAUGAUCUUGAAAAUAUACUUGUGAUUGCGAUUGUGGUGUGUUGAAUGGAUCGGUUGCCACGUUCCAACAUAACUAACUUGGAUCGGUUGCCACGUUCCGGCAUAACUAACUUGGAUCGAUUGCCACGUUCCUACAUAAUUAUGGGAUUGGUUGCCACAUUCCGACAUAAUCAAUUAGAUCGGAUACCACAUUCCGAUAUGCUAACUGUUUGGGUUUGGAUUCCAUGAGAGGACCAAUGACUUAUCAUAAUUGUGCAUCUUGAGAAAAUGUGAAGUUGUUCAUUGUUCGUACAUGUUGAUGAUAUUGUAUAUGUUCAAUAUGUGCAUGUGAUUAUAUGGUGGUGUUGACUUAUAUAUGUUGCACUUAGUAAUAAAAGUUAUGACGGCGUAUAUUUGAUUGUUCUCUGUGUUUAGAGAACUUGUAGGGUAUAGUGAAAGGGUAAAGAGUUCAAGGGGCGAGGAAUAGAUAGUAAUGGUUGUUCAUGUGUCGUAAUGGCGGAAAGUAGAGGUAGGGUAUGUGAUGAAAAAUGCGUAGGUGGACUUCACUUUGGAAUAAGAGAUUGAGUUUAGUGGUAAGGAAGUUUGAUGUAGUGUACUAUGUGACCAUUGUUGAGUAAUGUGGCGAGGGAGUAGGGGUACGAAGUGAGCGGUUAGUUGGAAUGCUUGUGGGUGUAAUUGGGGAAUUACUAAUGUGUCAGAACGAAUAGGCCAUGAUCAAGUACCUGGUAGGUAGGUUGAUUGAGAGGGAUGUUAGUAGUCGGAGUACUAGUGUAUAUUGGAGGUAUUACAAGAGGGGUGAAGGUGGAGAAACGAGUGGUUUAUUUCAUGAUCGUACUAGUUGGUUUCUUAUAUUAUGAAGUGGGCAUCGAGUUGACCGAUGAUGCCUACCAAUACGUGUGUUUGUACUGAUACUACUCUUGCUAUGUCUUUUGACAUAGUCUGGUUGCAGGAUCACUGAGGUUUCAUUAGGUGAAGACGAAGAAAAUCUCCAACAGCUUCUGUUUUUCCUUCCGCAUGGUGGGAGCUGUGUCUUUUAAUUAUCAUGUCCAGUUGUACUCUUAGUAGCUCUUGUACCUGUUUAGACUAGAUCCUUGGGAGUUUUAAUUAUUUUACAAGUCUUAACUCGAAAUUGUUUUAAAGAUUUUUAAUAAAUAAUUCUGUUAGUAUGUUAUUCCAUUUAUUUAAUUUUCCACAUGUUUUAAGUUGUUGGGAUAUGAGGGUUCUCCUACUUAGGUGGUAGUAUGUAGGUGCCCGCAUGGCUCAGUGGGUUGGGUCGUGACAGAUACUUGACACCGUGUUUUAGAUUAUAUUUUCUUUACUAGUUUUAAGUUUCUAAUUUUGAAAAUACUCUUUAAACUUUGUUAUUUCUUUACCAAGUUAUCCAGUGUUAUUGUUCUAAGUAUCUUAAUAAUACAUAUUAACAAUAAUAUAUAGCAUGUCGACCCUCUUGACUUUCACGCGGUUUUACGUCUGAAUACAAUAAUGGUAUCACUCGUAACAUAAAUUUCUCCACAUCUAAAACUUAAAUUCAAUAUCUCCGAUUAAGACCAAAGAAGUCCCACCGUUACAUGAUAAUUAGUACUUCUUGACUUUCUCACGCUCUUUUACUUCUUAAUAUAAUAACGGAGUCACUCGUAAGUCGUAACGUAAGUUUCUCCACAUCUAAGACUUAAAUUUCUAUUAAUGUAUGAUGAGUUUGAUAAUACUUGAAUAAUUUAUGCAAUAUGCCCAGAUAUUUAUAUUGUCAAUUGUCUAAAUUCAAAUUAAUUUAAAUAAGAAUUGCUAAAAAAUUGUUACUUUGAAUGAGAGAUUUUAAUUGCGUUACUUUAUCGUCUAUCUAAUAUAUUGUUGCGAACACAUACAUAUAUUGUUUAUUUUCACUUUUUUUGUUUUAUUUUUAGUUUUUCUACGAUAUGUAUGAAUGAGAUUAACAACUUAAUUUUCAAAUAAAAAUGAGAGUUCCAUUUACAUUUGUGCAACACUAAGCCUAAUAAUUUUCUUAAAUAUGAGCAAUCUAUAUUGAUGGUAGUUUUCUACAAUGUUAAAACUCAAAUGGUUGGUGUGAUGACAAUUUUGAUUGUAAUAUUAUAAGAAUAAUUAAGUUUCAUUUUGUUUAGAUUUAGUAAUAUAAAUCAGCAAGAUUAUUCAAUAUUCUACUAUUGUUCAAGAGUAACAUUAUAACGUCUUUUGCAAUUGUUUUAUAUUGUUGCAACAUAUAUUAUCACAUGAAAAAUUGUAUUUUCACUUUCAAAUUGAAAAUACUUAUAUAUGUAUGUUGUACUAAUAUUCAUGUCAUUUUAGAAAGUUUGAAAUACUUGAUAGGAAUACAUGUGCGUUGCACGUGUCCAUAACUAAUACAUUAAAUAUGUGUAAACAUUAAAUUUAAGGUUAUGACUUUUGCUACUUUUCCAAAGAGGUGUGACAUAACGUACAAUAAAACCUUUGAGUGAUUCGCUAACGCCAAGGUAAUUUUAGGUACCAGUACACCAGUGAGUAAAACCGUUUUAUCUUGGGAGGAUAUAUUUCAUAAAUCGUACUUGACAUCGUGUUUUAGAUUAUAUUUUCUUUACUAGUUUUAAGUUUCUAAUUUUGAAAAUACUCUUUAAACUUUGUUAUUUCUUUACCAAGUUAUCCAAAGUUAUUGUUCUAAGUAUCUUAAUAAUACAAAUUAACAAUAAUAUAUAACAUGUCGACACUCUUGACUUUCACACGGUUUUACAUUUGAAUACAUUAAUGGUAUCACUCGUAACAUAAAUUUCUCCACAUCUAAAACUUAAAUUCAAUAUCCCCGAGUAAGACUAAAGAAGUCCCACCGUUACAUGAUAAUUAGUACUUCUUGACUUUCUCACGCGCUUUUACUUCUUAAUAUAAUAACAGAGUCACUCGUAAGUCGUAAUGUAAAUUUCUCCACAUCUAAGACUUAUAUUUCUAAUAAUGUGUGAUGGGUUUGAUAAUACUUGAAUAAUUUAUGCAAUAUUCCCAUAUAUUCAUAUUGUCAAUUGUCUAAAUUCAAAUUAAUUUAAAUAAGGAUUGCUAAAAAAAUGUUACUUUGAAUGAAAGAUUUUAAUUGUGUUACUUUAUUGUCUAUCUAAUAUAUUGUUGCGAAUACAUACAUAUAUUGUUCAUUUUCACUCUUUUGUUUUUUUUUAGUUCUUAUACGAUUUGUAUGAAUGCGAUUAACAACUUAAAUUUCAAAUAAAAAUGAGAGUUCCAUUUAUAUUUGUUCGUCACUAAGCCUAAUAAUUUUCUUAAAUAUGAGCAAUCUAUAUUGAUAGUUUUCUACAGUGUUAAAACUCAAAUAGUUGGUGUGAUGACAAUUUUGCUUUUGUACAUUUUGGUUGUAAUAUUAUAAGAAUAAUUAAGCUUCAUUUUGUUUAGAUUUAGUAAUAUAAAUCAGCAAGAUUAUUCAAUAUUCUACUAUUGUUCAAGAGUAACAUUAUAGCGUCUUUUGCAAUUGUUUUAUAUUGUUGCAACAUAUAUUAUCACAUGAAAAAUUGUAUUUUCACUUUCAAAUUGAAAAUACUUAUAUAUGUAUGUUGUACUAAUAUUCAUGUCAUUUUAGAAAGUUUGAAAUACUUGAUAGGAAUACACGUGCAACGCACGUGUCCAUAACUAAUACAUUAAAUAUGUGUAAACAUUAAAUUUAAGGUUACUUUUCCAAAGAGGUGUGACAUUUUCAAUAACGUACAAUAAAACCUUUGAGUGAUUCGCUAACGCCAAGGUAAUUUUAGGUACCAAUACACCAAUGAGUAAAAUCGUUCUAUCCUGAGAGGAUAUAUUCCAUCAACCUGGGUACGUGACACCAUGUUUUAAAUUCUAUUUUCUUUACUAGUUUUAAGUUUCUAGUUCUGAAAAUACUCUUUAAACUUUGUUAUUUCUCACAAAAUUAUUUGUUACUGUUCUAAGUAUCUUAGUAAUACAAAUUAACAAUAAUAAAUUGCAUGUCGACAAUCUUGACUUUCACGCGGUUUCACACUUAAUCCAAUAAUGACAUCACUUGUAACGUAAAUUUCUCCACAUCUAAAACUUAAAUUCAAGAUCCCCGAUUAAGACUAAAGAACUCCCACCAUUACAUGAUAAUUAGUACUUCUUGAGUUUUGCACGCUUUUACUUUUUAAUACAAUAACGGGGUCACUCGUAAGCCGUAACGUAAAUUUCUCCACAUCUAAGACUUAAAUCCAAUGUCCUCGAUUAAGAGUAAAGAAAUUCUACCAUUAUAUGAUAAUUAGUACUUCUUGACUUUCACGCGCUUUUACUUCUCAAUACAAUAACGAGGUCACUCGUAACGUAAAUGUCCCCACAUCUAAGACUUAAUUUAAUCCAAUCUCCUCGAUUAAAACUAAAUAAAUCCCACCAUUACAUGAUAAUUAAUAUUUCUUGACUUUCACACGGUUUUACGUCUGAACACAAUAACGGAGUCACUCGUAACGUAAAUUUCUCCACAUCUAAGGCUUAAAUCCAAUAUCCUCGAUUAAGACUAAAGAACUCCCACCAUUACAUGAUAAUUAAUACUUCUUGACUUUCACACGCUUUUACGUCUGAAUACAGUAACUGAGUCACUUGUAACGUAAAUUUCUCAACAUCUAAGACUUAAAUCCAACGUCCUCGAUUAAGAGAAAAGAAAUCCCACCAUUACAUGAUAAUUAGUACUUCUUAACUUUCGCACGCCUUUACUUUUUAAUACAAUAACAGCGUCACUCGUAACAUAAAUUUCUCCACAUCUAAGACUUAAAUCCAAUGUCCUAGAUUAAGACUAUAGAAAUUCCACCAUUAUAUGAUAAUUAGUACUUCUUGACUUUCGCACGCUUUUACUUCUUAAUACAAUAACAGACUCGUAAGUCGUAACGUAAAUUUCUCCACAUCUAAGACUUAAAUCUAAUGUCCUAGAUUAAGACUAACAAAAUCCCACCAUUAUAUGAUAAUUAGUACUUCUUGACUUUCGCACGCUUUUAUUUCUUAAUACAAUAACAGGGUCACUCGUAAGUCGUAACGUAAAUUUCUCCACAUCUAAGACUUAAAUCUAAUGUCCUAGAUUAAGACUAACAAAAUCCCACCAUUAUAUGAUAAUUAGUACUUCUUGACUUUCGCACGCUUUUAUUUCUUAAUACAAUAACAGGGUCACUCGUAAGUCGUAACGUAAAUUUCUCCACAUCUAAGACUUAAAUUCAAUGUCCUAGAUUAAGACUAAAGAAAUCCCACCAUUACAUGAUAAUUAGUACUUCUUGACUUUCGCACACUUUUACUUCUUAAUACAAUAACGGGGUCACUCGUAAGUCGUAACAUAAAUUUCUCCACAUCUAAGACUUAAAUCCAGUAUCGUCGAUUAAAAGUAAGGAAAUCUCACCAUUACAUGAUAAUUAGUACUUCUUGACUUUUGCACGCUUUUACUUCUUAAUACAAUAACGGGAUCACUCGUAACGUAAAUUUCUCCACAUCUAAGACAUAAAUCCAAUUUCCUUGAUUAAGAGUAAAGAAAUCUCACUAUUACAUGAUAAUUAAAACUUUUUGACUUUUACGCGAUUUUUACGGGAACAGUUCCACCAUUACACGACAAGCGGUGGUGUUAACUCUACUUAGUUUAUAACCAAGCGUUACAAACCCAACCAACCCCCCCACUCUACCCCUUCACAGUUCACACUACACAGAUGAAAAAAGGAGACAAGCACGUUCUCUGCAGGGAGCGGUAGAAAGCAACAAAUCAAGCCAUAUAUUAAGCUGUUUUUGGGUAAACUCCGUUACAGAGUUUUCUCUUUCUCUCUCUCUUUCUCUCUUUCUCUUUCUCUCACAUACAAAAUAGAAAAAGAAAUGAAAUUAUUAAGCUGUUGCUUCUUCUGUUGUUGCUCCUGUUUGUUCCAGUAGUAGUACUACUACUAUUGUUGGCUAUUUUUUUUUCUUCUGCAGUACUUAAAACUUUAUUUUUGGUUGGUGGGGGUGUUUCUUUAAGGCUUAUAUGUGUUGUUGGUAUAACAGGGAAGAAAUGUGGUGAAUUUUAGCUAGUUUUGAGAUGUUUUUUGAGCUAAUUACUUGAUUUUGAAUUCUGGGUCUUCUUUUGUUUUUGGAAUUGAAGUUUGAUUAUACUCAUGGCAAGUAAAAAUGGGUGUUAUCAGUCUCAGCAGAAGAAAAAUUCAUCAGGUGAAAGUUUGUUUUUUUUGAAGUUUAAUUUGAGAAUUUUGGAUCUUUUUUUGUUUUGUUGUUUAAAAUGUGGGUUUUUUGUGAUUUUUUUUUUGAGUUUCAGGUAAAGAUGAUCUGUAUCAUGAGCUAUGGCAGUUGUGUGCAGGUCCAAUAGUGGAUGUUCCAAAGGAAGGAGAAAGUGUUUAUUAUUUUCCACAAGGCCACAUGGAACAAGUAAGUUUUUUUUUUUUUUUAAAAAAAAUAAUUGAAUUCUGGGUUUUUCUGUUUUAGGUGAAUCUGGUUGAUUCAAAGCUAAGUUCUUGUUUUUGAGUUAUGGAGUUAUGAAUGUUUGGGUCAAUUAUUGGAUUUCUCAAUUUGAGUGUAUCUUUUUUGGUUAUUUUUAGUUAUGUUUUCUGGGGAUUGUAAAAUUUGUAUCUUUCUCUUUUUGUCUCACUUUUUUUGGUUUUGUGGAAAAGUUGGUAGCAUCAAUUAAUCAAGAAAUGGAUCAAAGAGUUCCAUCAUUCAAUCUCAAAUCAAAGAUCCUUUGUAGAGUUAUCAACAGUCAUUUCCUGGUAUGUUUACUUUUUAUUGUGUUCUUUGAUCAGUAUAUUUUACAUACAUUGUAUUCAUACUUGUUAGUAUUGCAUCCAAAAGAAGUGAUGAAUUAAUUGUUGGGUUCAAAGUUCAAACAUUGGAAGGUGAGCCUUGGCGUAUGCGUAGCUGGCAAAGUUGUCGGCUUGUCGUGAUGUGACCGCCCAUGAGCUCACCGAUUCAAGCAGUGGAAACGGUCUCUUGCAGAAAUGCAGGGUAAGGCUGUGUACAAUAGACCCUUGUAGUCCGGUCUUUCCCUGAAUCACACACAUAGCGGGAGCUUUAGUGCACCGGAAUGCGUUUAAAGUUCACACAAUUUUAUAUUUGAAAUGUAAAAUGUUUUGAUGAUUGCUUGUAGGCUGAGGAAGAUAAUGAUGAGGUCUAUGUCCAGAUCACUUUGAUGCCAGAGGCACCAGAUGUAAGAAGUUAAAAUUGUUGUAGUAUUCACUUGUUUAUAUGCAUUUUAUUGAUCAAUUUGGUUGUAAUUGCUGAUCUGAUUUUUAGAAAGCCGAGCCGACUAAUCCUGAUCCGUUCCUUCCGGAGCCUGUAAAGCCUAAAGUCCAUUCUUUCUGCAAGGUUCUGACUGCCUCCGAUACAAGCACUCAUGGUGGAUUUUCUGUUCUAAGGAAACAUGCUAAUGAAUGCCUUCCUCCCUUGGUAAUAUAAGUGUGAUCCUUUUGUAUAGGCUAGCCUACAUUUCCCCCCCUGUUUUGACAAGUUGUUGAAUUAGCUCUCGUGUUUGUUAUACUUUGUUAGGACAUGAACCAGCAGAUUCCGACCCAGGAAUUGAUUGCGAAAGACCUUCAUGACAUGGAGUGGCACUUCAAGCAUAUAUUUAGAGGUAAUUGUUUUGUUUGUAGUGUGUAACAGAAGAUAUCAAUGAAGCUUUAUCAUGUAUUUGUAAAGGUCAAAACUCAUCCGUCGUUGUUUUAAUUAUAACAGGCCAACCUCGGAGACAUUUACUUACCACAGGGUGGAGUAACUUUGUUUCUUCAAAGAGAUUAGUGGCAGGGGAUUCUUUUGUAUUCUUAAGGUAUCUCUCUCUGGUCCUAGUUUCUCGUAUGAGUAUGAUAUUUGAUUGCAUUAUCUAUCACUAUUGCAUGUCAUGUCAUAUAUCCAGAACAGUUAAUGUUGGUUUGUUAAUAAUCAUAUUUUAAUGGAUGUGUAUGCUCUAGGGGUGAUAAUGGAGAACUACGAGUUGGGGUCAGACGGCUUGUUCGCCAGCAGAGCUCAAUGCCGUCAUCGGUGAUAUCAAGCCAGAGCAUGCACCUAGGAGUCUUAGCUACAGCAUCUCAUGCUGUUACAACCCAGACCUUGUUUGUUGUUUACUACAAACCGAGGUUUGUCACAUACAUCUCUUUUCAAUUAUCCCGUCAUCCUUAUGCAAAGUAGAGAUCAUUUUCAUGCCAGAGAACAUACUAAAUCUUUCAUAUGCUCUUUCGAUUUUCUGCUGUGACAACCUUCAGAACCACUCAGUUCAUCGUAAGCCUCAACAAAUACUUGGAGGCUGUUAAUCAUGGAUAUUCAGUUGGCAUGCGAUUUAAAAUGCAGUUUGAAGCGGAAGAGAAUCCUGAUAGAAGGUAGUGAUAUCAAUUACUCCCUAGCUCCAUUUUGAUUCAUUUGUCUUACUUUCCUUUUUAGUCUGUUUAAAAAGAAUGCAUCUUUCCCUUUUUGGCUUUAAUUCAACUUUCCACCUGACAUCUUUCUUAAAUUCCGUGCCAAGUUAAAAUCAGCAAAUAAAUUGAAAUGGUGGGAGUAUUCAGAAGUCCUCCAAUUAGAUGUGGAAGUCUUUGAUCAAGAUGUUUAUUUGCCAACUGCUUAGUUCUGACAUGUAUUUGGUUUUUCUUGGGCUCUUCCCUUGUUAUUUCUCAGAUUUAUGGGCACUAUAGUUGGGGUUGAUGAUCUUUCCUCACAGUGGAAAGAUUCUGCGUGGCGAUCCUUGAAGGUUGAUAUCUUUGUUUGAACAUUUAUAUUUCAGCAAUAUUCUUUAAGUUCAGUUGGUAAUCACCAAUUCUCCCUUCGUUCCAGGUUCGAUGGGACGAGCCUGCAGCCAUUGCAAGGCCUGACAGAGUUUCUCCUUGGGAAAUCGAACCUUAUGUGUCUUCAAUUCCAAAUGCCCUUGUCCCACCAACCGCAGGGAAGAACAAAAGGCAUCGGCUACAUAGUGAAAUCAAAAUAUCAGGUCUGAAUGAAAAUUCUCAACAGCAUUGUGUUUUUUCAAGUGUUGGUUGCUGAUAUUUUAAUUUCCAUUUUCAUUUUCUUAAUUAUCUUGCCUUUCUUUUCCUGUUAGAACCUGCAUCCUCAAUUGCGUCAGCAGUUUGGAAUCCUUCCCUCGACUCGCCUCAGUUUAACACCUCUGGCAUCAACAGCAGUACUAAUUGCACAUUAACGUCUCGUACAGAGAGUGGUUGGCCGCUUCCUCAUUUAAAUACUGCAGGUAUGCUUGUGGAUGAGACAGAAGACAGUAGAAGUGCUUCAACUUGGUGUGGUUUUCCAUGCGUUUUGGCCCCGCAAUUCGGUCAAGGGACUAAUCAGCCGAUUGUUAUUCCUACUGAUGAGAGAAAAUGUAAUACCAAAACAACCUGUAGAUUAUUUGGUAUUGACUUGAAAAAAACCUCAAUUAGCACUACUGAGGCACUACUACCGCCACAGCCAGCCGACAUUUCUCGUGUCUCCGCAGAGAGAGCGCCUCCAAACAUGGCGCCUGCUGGUGAUUCAGAUCAAAAGUCUGACCUUUCAGUAGACUUCAAAGAUCAAAUGCAAGGCCAUUUGCGGUUACCCCUAAAGGAGGUUCAAAGCAAGCAGAGUUGUUCCACCAGGUCUCGCACAAAGGUAUUAAUCAAAAGCCGAAAAAUUGCAUUCUUACCAACUCAUUUUCUCCUCAAAAGAUAUUAUUAAUAUCUCUAACAUCUUUUCUCAUGUGGAAUCCCUUGAGAAGGUGCAAAUGCAAGGCGUAGCUGUAGGUCGUGCAGUGGAUUUAACCAUAUUGAAAGGAUACAAUGAGCUUACAAAGGAGCUUGAGGAGAUGUUUGAAAUCCAAGGAGAGCUUCAGUCACGACAGAAAUGGGGGAUCUUGUUUACAGAUGAUGAAGGGGAUACGAUGCUUAUGGAUGAUUAUCCGUGGCAGUAAGUUCUCUCUCACUUUAACAAUUCAAGACUGAAAUACAUAUAUAACCACUGCAUAAGAUCUUUGCUACAUCCUAUAAUUUAACACGUCGCGUAAUCACUUAAUUGCAGAGACUUUUGCAAUGUGGCGAGGAAAAUUUUCAUUUGUUCAAGUCAAGAUAUGAAAAAAUUGACCCUGUCUCGCGCAGACAGUUAAGCGACUCCUUUCAAAUGAAAUGAUGGCGGAAGAUGGUGAAAGUUAAGACUCCGCCUUUUGAAGUUGUAUCAUUUUGUGAUCUCUUCGACUUCAUUCUCCAGAUAUAGUAGGAAAGAACGACAGGGUGUUGACAUAGCAAGGCGUAGAAGCUUGUUUUUACGCUCUUUUUAGCCUAGUUCAUGCUCGGUUUUGAGAGCAGUUAAGUAAGUAACUAGUUAUAAUAGGAUAAGACUAGUAAAGAUAUAGUACUGGAAGUUGUAAAAAGUUAACGGUGUUCUCUAAUGGGGAGUCUAGUAGUGGUUUGUGUAGUGUUCUAUUCGCGCGUUAACCUGUAAAUACUCAUGUGUCAUUGCAGUAUUCUGCAAUGUAUCGUCUUGUUAGCGUGCUUCAUCUUAAUGAAAACUCCAUGGUGGAAAUUGCUCUAUACUUGCCCUUUCUGUGAGACUUGUGUGAUGCACAAUAGGGAUUUCUUGUGUAAAGUUAGACUCUUUUGGCACAUCAUGCAUCACUUUGUAAGUUUUCCCCUUUACUGAACAAAAAAUCAUCAAAACGCUCCCUCACGUGUGUGUUUUAUUCUUUGCUAAAGGGUGAUGCUAAGAUUAAAAUUCGAUAUCGUGUUCUUUACUAAAAGGGUGACAAUAAGACUUGAACUCAAAACCUUUGUCUGUUUUUAUUACUAUGUUAAAUUAUGUGCUCUCUUUAUUUUGAAGUUUAAUAAGUUUUUGAUUCAUUAAUUGACUUUGGUUAAGAUGUUGAGUGCAAAAUAAAUAGAUGGUUCAUCUUUUGAGCCUAGCGUAGAGUCAUUUUCCUUUAAACUUUAUAAAGCACUUACAAUCACAUAUUUUUGCAUUCUUAGUGCACGUUUGACCAUGGAUAAUUUUCACUAUUUUAUGAAACUUUAUAUUAUAAUUUUUUGGAAUUCGAAUAACUCCAAAAGACUGUUUUCAUAAUUUUAUUUCAAAUCACUCCUACAAAAAUCAAAAACAAUUUCAAGUUGUAUUCAUUUUCAAGCACAAGUUCAAUUUCCCAAAUAUCACUUUUAACACAAAUACUACUUCUUUUCCCUUCAAAAUUAACUGCCACUAAGUUCCUUUUUGAAACUCUGGACUUUUAGUGAAAGGAUGGCAUGGACCAAAAAAAUUAAUGGGCCUUACUUAAAAUUGGGCUUUAUGAAUUGUUUGGUCUUCAAUAUCCCUAUCAUAGCUAGGAAGAGUGUCCAUAUAGUCAUGGGCCUCAUGAGUUGUCAAAUGUCACGUAAAGGUAUUUGUCUUUGCAUGAGUGCUAUCUCACGCUCAAAACUUCUUUGUUAUGAGUCUGAGUCGUUGUGUUUUGUUUCCAUGCUUGGCUUGCGUGAUUUUCACUUCUGAUGUUUUGUGUCAUCCCCAAUCUUAUUGAAAUGACUAUGAAGGAGUUAGUCAAGUAACUCAGAGUUUCGAUCGAUUCACGUUCGCCUUCACUAAUCUGAAUUGUUCUUCAGAUAAUAAAUAUUCAAUGUUCCAUCUUCGGAAAUCAACACUUUUAAUGUUAUUUGACGACUUGACGUACAAUAAAUUAUAUAUGCCUAGUAUGAAUCUAUACCCCAGAGGUUAUAAACUCGUCGGAUUUGUUGACCAAAAUAUCGAUCAUGACUUGAUAAGGAUGGAUUUUAACUCCAUCUUUGUGGUAUACAAAAAUGUUAAUUUUUUUCUCUAGAAUUUAAAAUAAAAGAUGUGGAUUAAUUUGCCCACUCAAUAAAAGGAAAUGAUAAAAUAAGAAAAGAGAAACACAACAAAAUACAAAAAUAUAAUUAAUUAAUCAAUCAAUAUUUGAGUGUGCCUUCUAAUUGUUCAAUUGAGAAUCAUGUAAAGGUAUAGAAGUAAUUGACACAAUAAGAGUUUUGGGAGUCAACCAAUCAUUUUCUAGUUCAUAUAUCAUAGGAGAUUUAGAAAAAUAUAAAAAUGAGUGGCCAUGGAUGGUUUGAUAUUCGAUCUGAUUUUCUAUGAUUUACGUUAAGUGACAUAAAUUAAAGAUAAAUUAUUGAUAACUUCGUAGUUGUUGGAGUAUAAAACACACCAAUAUUGACUUCUUGGAGUGGGCAUGGAUGGUCUGAUUUUCGAGUCGAUUUCCUAUGAUUUAUGAUAAGUGGCAUAAAUUAAAGAUAAAUUAUUGACGAUUUCGUAGUUAUUGGAGUAUAAAACACGCUGACAUUGACUUCUUGGAGUUUAGUAAUCAUAAUAUUUUUUUUAAAAGACAAAUCUCCUCCAUCAACUUCUUGAUUUUAGUAGUAAUCCAUCCAUUAAGGUACAUUCAUGACUUGAUGUGUUCGAUUUAAUAUUUAUUGUACUGAAAAAAUUAUGAAUUUUAAUCUAACAUUUGUUGCGAUUUUUUCGUGAAUUUUACAUAUAGAUCUAUGAUCAACAUAAAAAAAAUAUUGAUUUAGAUAAAUUUGGUAUCGAAACACUACUACUUCAUAAUAACCUUAAGUCAUAUUUGAUCAUGACCUAUAUGUAUAAUUUAACUUAUAAGGGGUUCUAAUUGAACAGAGGUGGAUAUAGGGCCCAUAUAUGAACUUACGUAAAUUCAAUAACUUUUGUUAAGAUCAUAUUUAACAAUGACUUAAGUUCUUAUUGUAAUAUUAACUUGAGAUCGUUAUAAAUUAUAUGUAUAUAUACAAUUUCCUCUCGCUUUAUACAAACACAUUUUAUACAUUUGUGUUUGUAUAAAAGCGAGAGAGGGCGAGUGAGACUGCCACCAAACGAGAGUGGCGAGCGAGAUUCCACCAGGGAGAGUGGCGAAAAUAGCAAUAGUUUGCUAUAGGGUACAAUUAAAUCAAAGUAUAUUUAUAGCAUUUAAUUUGAAUUAAUAGUUUGCUAUUAUAUACAAUUUUCCCUUAUAAAAUUCAUAAACUUUAAAUCUUAGAUCCAUCUCGAUCUAUAACUGGCCAUCCUUUGUGUGUUCUCUAUAGCAACUGGCUAGGAGUUUAAAAUACAUCCCUUAUAACAAAAAAUUGGAAUACCACAAACUUCGUAGCUAAAUUAACUUUUUAAUAAUCUGCAAUUUAUACAUUUUGUUUCUGUUUGUAUAAGCGAGAGAGGCAAGGGUGGCGAGCGAGAUUCGGGAGAGUGGCGAGUGAGAUCUAAAAGAGGGGGAGAGAGGGGAACGAAAAUAUAUGUAUAUAUACAAUUUUCUCUCGCUUUAUACAAACACAAACGCAUUUUAUACAUUUGUGUUUGUAUAAAAGCGAGAGAGGGCGAGUGAGACUGCCACCAAACGAGAGUGGCGAGCGAGAUUCCACCAGGGAGAGUGGCGAAAAUAGCAAUAGUUUGCUAUAGGGUACAAUUAAAUCAAAGUAUAUUUAUAGCAUUUAAUUUGAAUUAAUAGUUUGCUAUUAUAUACAAUUUUCCCUUAUAAAAUUCAUAAACUUUAAAUCUUAGAUCCAUCUCGAUCUAUAACUGGCCAUCCUUUGUGUGUUCUCUAUAGCAACUGGCUAGGAGUUUAAAAUACAUCCCUUAUAACAAAAAAUUGGAAUACCACAAACUUCGUAGCUAAAUUAACUUUUUAAUAAUCUGUCGUAAGUAAAAUACUUAGAAUUAGCUAUAACUUUUAUUAUUUAGCUAUAAAAGUCAUUCACUUUGUUCUAUAUUAUUAUUAGUAUUCAGUAAUAAUAUCUUGGAUAUGAAUAUUUUUAGUAUUCCAUUUCGAACGGCACAUGGUUGAAAUUGUUUUGUUGGUCACCAAUCACCAUCACUUAUAUUUUAUGGCUAUUAAUUAUGUCAUAUCUCUCACUAAUCAAUGCUAGUUAAACAGUAGCGAAAUUAAAAUUUUCAUCAAAAUAUUUAAAUUUUAACUAAAAUAACAGUAACGUAACCUUGUUAGUCAAUUACUAUAAAUUGAAUGACUAUUUGAGUUAUUAAUCAUAUCAAAUUUAGACAAAAAUGUUGUUGUAUUUAAGUUGUAUAAUCUUAGGUAUAUUGUUUAAGUAGUUGAGAAAAGAUCACCAUUCAUUUUUUUAAAACCAUUUAUGUCAAUUAGACAUUACAUUUAUGAAAAGAGCAUUUGAUCAGUACCCUCCAAAAGGGAUUUGUUGGAGAUUCCAAAUUCCAAUUUACAUGUGCAAUAUUGAUUGGCAUGAUUACAAUCACUAAGUUUCAAUCAGGUGUUAGAAAUCGAAAGAUACUGAUUAUUUAGGUGUUAGAAAUUGAAAGAUACUGAUUAUUUUUCAAAGACAAGAUCAAAAAGUGAUCGUAUAUCAGACGUACUUCUCUUUUCAUGCGUCUUUUAGAAGAGAUCAUCAUAGAAAAAAGUAAUUUAGUUAUUAUUUUUUUAAGCUGAAAAAACUAGUAAAAGAAUGAAUCAAUAAAAUUGCCUUGAAAGCUAUAUCUACGACAUAUAAUGCUUGUAAAUUUUAAAUUCCAUUUUCUUAAUACAUUGUGACAAAACAUGAUAUUCUUGUUGAGGUAUAUAUGGUCAAGAAUACAAGAACAAGAAUAUAGAGAAUCUCAUUAUUUUAUUUAACAAAUCAACCUAAUUCCAUCUUUUUAAUUAUUUAAAUGCAAACAUAUUUUAAAAAAGGUCUUCAUUUUAUCUUAAGAGAUUUUUUAUAAGUACACAUUUUUUUAAAAAAUAAAUAACUAACUACACUUUUGAUACGUGCUUAAAGAGUUCUCUUUCUUUCUCAAAUUUUGUACACAAUUAACAUAACCGUAUAAUAUCAAAGUGAAGAAGUAGCUAAAUUAUAUUUAUGGGGUAAACUAUUGUACACUUACAAUGCAUAUAACAUAAAUUUUAAAUGAAAAUUAAUUUUAAAACAGCCCUUUCGGCUGUAAAAUCUAUAUGAUUACAAACAUUAAACUUUCAUAUUAGUUUAUGAAAUUCAAGAGUAAUAGAGAACAAGUGAGGCCAAAGCAUGCUCAGAUCGUUAAACAUCUUUAUCAUUGAUCGAUAAGUUAAGAAUUUGAGUCACCCAAAAAAUUAUUUAUCAUCUUGAGAAUAAGGUGAAGAAGAAAAUAAAAAUUAAAAAGAGAAAUAUUGAAAUACAAAUUAAUUAUUUAAAGACGUAUACCAAGCAAUAACAACUUCCUCUUACAAAAGAAUAAAAAAAUUCUAACCCCAUCUUCAAGUUCAAACAAAAUUUCAACAUCCAUUAUUUUUUUCUUAAUUUCCACUUCAAGUACUUUUUUAAUACAUAUUAAAAUUCAACUAAAAUAUUGUCCAUACACCAACUACUCCAUUUGUUCAUUUUCAUUUAUUCCGUUUCGACUUUACACACAUUUUUUAAAAAAAAAUUGACAUAAAUAUUUUAUCACAAUAUCUCAGUAGCACUUCUAAAUAUCUUCAAGAGUUAGUUUAGAAGAAACUAUUUCCACUCAAAAACCUUUAAACUAUUUCUAAGUAAAAUACACGUUCAAACACUACUUCAAAAAUUUAAAAUUUUACUUAAAUUUCAAGAUUCAACUUCAAAAUCUAUAAUCAGCUUAGUUUUAGAUCUUGAAAAUGAUUCAAAGAAUAAAUACCUAAUGUAGAGAUAAGAGUAAAACAUGAAUAAAAUUUGUUUUUCUCAAUCUUGAUACAACAAAAAUAAUAAAUAAAAAUGAAAAAUAUAUUUUUUAAUAUAAUGAACACUAAAAAUAAACGGAGGGAGUAUUUUGGAAUCCUUCCUAUAAAUAGCACUCCUCUCACUACAAUAAUCUAUCACUCCAUCAUCUACUCUAAUAACACACUUCAAGAAAAAAUGGAAACCACCACCACCUCUGCCGCCGUCACCACCACCGUUAACACCGGCGGUCUUCACUCCGUCAAGGUGAAUCCACGACACCACAUCCUCAACCGCGCAUUUGCACUUAUUUACCUUUUUGCCAUCCUAGUUCUUUUCUAUAACCAUAUACUAAAACUCCUAAAUUCCACAAAUUCCUUUAUAACUUUCUCCAUAGCAUUUUCCAUUUUAAUUUCAGAUUUCAUCUUAGCCUUCAUGUGGACAACUAUUCAAUCUUUUCGUAUGCGUCCACUAACACGUCAACAAUAUCCCCAAAAAAUAACAAAAAACUUUAGUUAUGAUAUUAAUAAUUUUCCAGCACUCGAUAUAUUUAUUUGUACGGCAGAUCCUUAUAAGGAGCCACCGUUAAACGUCGUUAACACGGCGUUAUCAGUUAUGGCCUAUGAUUAUAAUCCGAUCGAAAAAAUAUCGAUUUAUGUAUCGGACGAUGGAGGAUCGGAGCUUACGUUAUUUGCUUUUAUGGAAGCUGCAAAAUUUGCUGCAUAUUGGUUGCCUUUUUGUAGGGAAAAUAAAAUAAUUCAAAGGUCUCCAGACGCAUAUUUCAAUUCUAAUUACACAGAAAAUUCGGAGACAAAGAAAAUCAAGGUAUGCUUUUUUUUUCUCGAAUAUAUAUUACUACUAAACAGAACGUCUAACGUCUAGUGAUUUUUUUAAAUUAAUAAUAGAAAAUUAGUUGAUUUUCAAUAUUACUAAAUCAUGAUUAUAAUGUUUUGAUUUUUCAAAAAUAUCUUAACGUAUAGGUCGGAUAUUCCUUCAAAGAUAUAUUAUUACUAUUUCGAUAUAAUGAUUUAUUUAAGAAUUCGAGCAACAUAGAAACACAAGAUUUUUGGCACGGUUAUUUCUGCAAGCAUGCAUGUGCGAUGUACAUUUAAUUUAUAUUAUAGCCUUCGUUUCAGAUCUGGCUAAGUUUAUUUAUGCGAUAUUUUGGUAAAUUUGUUGUCUAGCAAUUAUUGAUAAAGGGACAUAGAGGUUUGGUACGAUUGAUUUUAUGGUCUAUUAUAAAUAUUAUAUUUAGUUAUAUUAUAUGGUCUUUUCUAUAAGAUGUCGGGUCCCAAUUUAAUAUAUAUGUGGUAGUUUUCACUUUUCGAAAGCUGAUUUGUUUAAUAUUUGAAGUUGAAUUAAAUUUGAUCAAACUAAUAUUAAUUAAAAUUUAUAAGAUAUUCAAAAUAUAUACAAUAAUACUGUAAGUUGCGCAAAAAAUAUAAGUACUUUAUAAAAAUGUUUAUCAAAGUUCACAGAGUUUCAAAAAUUGAAAAGUGACAUAAAUUUAAAAUGAAAGAGUAAUAUGUAACAUAUGAGAUCGUAAAAAAUACAUGAAAUCUUUAUAAAACCAUUUCCCUCUAUUUAAUUAAAUAUAAUUUGUGAUAGGAAAUCAUGAUUCUGGCUAAGGGAAAUUACGAAUAGAAUAUUUGUUUAUCUUACACGAUAUUUCGUAUUUCUAUAUAUUUUAGUUCUUCGAGAUUCAAAUUACGCCGUAUUUUAGUCAAUAUUUUAAAAUAUAAUUAUACAAGAAGAUAAACAACUUGCACUUUGAUUGACUAGUAUCUGGCCUGAGUUAAUUUCAUCAAUUAUCUGAACAUAUUUCAUUAGAUACUUAUUCGUCAUUUUGUUUUUGAAUUCAACCUUUCUGACGUUAUAGCUAAGACAAAAAAAACAGAUAUUUUCUUUAAUUUGUCAUUAUUCAUUUAAAAGUAGCAAAAUAACUAAACUAGUAUAUAUAAAAUGCUCAUAUGUCAUGUUUUUGUUAUAUAAUGUAUUUGACUAAUAAAUCUAGCCAAUAAUAUUGUCACAACUCUUUUAAGAAAAUCUUAUAUUAUUUUUAAAAUGUCAUAAAGCCUUUUACUAUUAUAUACUAGAAUCUUUAUCUUAGGUUAUAAAAGAAAAACAAAUUAUUAUUUUUCCUAGGUAUAUAUAUACAUGAUAUAAUUUUAACAUAAAAAAAUAUAUUUUCACUUAUCUUUCAAUGUGACUCAAGAUAUUAUAUUAUUUAUCUUAUUUCCGAUUGGACUUAAACUUUAUGAAUUUUAUAUUAUAUGUGUAGUUGAUGUAUGAAAACAUGAAGAAAAGAAUAGAAGAAGUGAUUGAGAGGGGAAAAGUGGAUGAAGAUUAUAUUAACAACGAGGAAGAACUUCAAGCUUUUACCAAAUUUUGGACGCCUGAAUUUACUCGUCAUAAUCAUCCUUCUAUUAUUCAGGUAUAUAUAUAUAUAUAUAUCAUAACAGUUUAAUUCACUCGUGAUAUUGUCAUUUUCAACUUAAUUCUAUGACCUUAAAAUAUAUUUCAAUAUUUUGUUAAUAUGAGACUGUCUAAUUUUAAAAUGUGUCACUAUAAAAAGUACAAAAUUACUAAUUAGCUAUUAAUUAAAAGUGCUUAACACAUGUUGCCAAAGAGUCUAAUUUGCGUUUGAUUGUAAACAUGUUACUUAAGAUCAUAUGUUUGGUGAUUAAUUAGGUAACAUCAUAUAUUUAACUUAUCCUUUUAUCAAAUUGGUUGGUGUAGGUUUUGUUAGAAAGUGGCAAAGAUAAAGACAUGACAAGUCAUGGGAUGCCAAAUCUUAUUUAUCUUUCAAGAGAAAAAAACAAGAGUUCCCCUCAUCAUUUUAAAGCAGGUGCCCUCAAUGCAUUGGUAAGUAAAAUCUCAUCAAUUUUAUUUUUUAAAAACAAUUUAUAUUUAUAAAAAAUAUUUUUACUAAUAGUGUAAAUAUCUUUUAAUAAUAUUAAGGAAAAAAGGGCAAAUAUAUCCCUCAACUUGAUUUGAAAUAUAUUCCUCUAUCAUUUAACAAAUGAUACAUAUUUCAACGAUCAGUAAAAAUAUGUAUUUAUCUACUUAGUUUUUGUGGUUUUUUUUACUUUAGUCUAUUAACGAAAACAAUUAAUAUGCAUCGUUUAUUAGUAGCGAAGGUAUAUACGUUCUAAAUUGCAGAGUCAAGGAAUAUAUUUGUCUCUUUUCCAUGUAAUAUUUACACUUGAUGUUGAUAUCUUCGAGUAUAUGCAUCAUUUUUUCAGUGAAUGAUAUAUAUGUUCUAAACAUCGAAGUCAAGGAUUAUAUUUGCCUCUUUUCCCUAAAAUAUUAUCGAAUUGAUUAUUAAUUUCUUCUUGUGAUAGCUUCGAGUAUCGGGAAUAAUGACAAAUGCACCAAUAAUAUUGACACUUGAUUGUGAUAUGUACUCUAAUGAUCCAUCAACACCUCAACGGGCUUUAUGUUACUUCUUGGACCAAACAUUACGGCCCAAUUUAGCCUACGUUCAGUUUCCUCAAACUUUUCAUGGGCUUAAUGAAGCAGAUACUUAUGCAAGUGAGAUAAAAGGCCUGUUUUUUACUAAUCCAAUAGGCAUGGAUGGGCUUAAUGGGCCUAAUUAUGUUGGAACUGGAUGUUUUUUUCGUCGUCGGGCUUUUUUCGGAACUCCAUCUAUGUUCGAGCAUCCCGAAAUUCCAGAACUGUUUCCGGAUCAUGUUGUGAAUAAGCCCAUUAAGGCCCAAGAAAUUUUGCGGCGAGCCUAUUAUGUAGCGAGUUGCAACUAUGAGAGUGGAAGUAAUUGGGGUUCCAAGGUGAGCUUUAGUUUACAUUGCACUACCAACUUUUUUUUAGUGGCAGUUGGUUUGAAUUUGCCAUGUGAUAUUUCUAGUAUACAUGGUAAAUUCGAACUAAUUCCCACAAAAAAGAAUAAUUGCACUGGUUACUUCUUCGUGGCAAUUGGUUCGAACUUUUGAUAUAUAUUAGAUCAUGUUGCCACGAAAAAAUUGCUAGAGCCGAAGACAACAAGUUCAUAAGUCAGUAACUGUGGUGUAUAAUGUAUGUAUAAUCCGUGUUUAAUAUGUAUAUUAUCAGUAUAAUCAGUGUAUACUCUAUGUACACCAGAUAGAAAAAGUAAACAAUGAAUCCGUAGGACUAACAAUUUCAAAAUUAUGCAGAUUGGAUUUAGGUAUGGAUCACUUGUUGAGGAUUACUAUACUGGUUAUAGGCUUCAAUGUGAAGGUUGGAAAUCAGUAUUUUGCAAUCCUAAAAGGCCUGCAUUUUUAGGAGAUAUACCAAUUUCUCUCUAUGAUGUGGUCAGCCAAAACAAGAGAUGGUCUGUGGGCCUUCUUGAAGUUGCUUUCUCAAAAUAUAGCCCAUUAACUUUUGGGGUUCAGUCCAUGGGCCUUGUUAUGGCCCAUUGUUAUGCUCACUAUGCAUUUUGGCCCAUUUGGUCGAUACCACUUACUCUAUAUGCUUUCAUCCCUCAACUUACUCUUCUCAAUGGGGUUACCAUCUUUCCAAAGGUAUGCACCAAUUCAUUUUGGUCCUUUUUAAUAUAUGACUCAACAUAUUUAACGUUCAAUUAAUUAAGUUAUGUGUUUCAGUUCCCUUUGAUGUAGAAAAUACAUUAUAUUAUCGUCAUAUACAAAGCGACACUACAUAUAUAGAGCAUAGCACAUGACUAAUUAAGUGGUGGAACAACUAAUCUUAUGGUAAAUUUGUGGAUAUUGACAAGCAAAUGAAUAGAAGGUGUAAUUGUUUUUCUGAAGGUUUAAUGUUUUUUUUUAUAUUGAUUUCAGGUUUCAGACCCUUGGUUUUUCUUGUAUGUUUUUAUGUUCCUCGGAGCGUAUGGACAAGAUUGCUUGGUUUUUAUGUCUAAUGAAGGGACAUUUAAAAGGUGGUGGAGUGACCAAAGAAUGUGGAUGAUAAGGGGAUUAACAUCUUUCCUAUUUGGAACAAUUGAGUAUUUAACUAAACACUUGGGCAUAUCGACACAAGGGUUCAACGUAACAAGCAAAGUAGUCGAUAAUGACCAAGGUAAAAGGUACCAUCAAGGAAUUUUCGAGUUUGGGGUUGUUUCGCCUAUGUUUGUGAUACUAGCAACAACAUCAAUCAUCAAUUUAGUAGCAUUUCUCAAAUCAUUAGCACAAAUUAUCAAGGGUGAUCAAAAUUUGGAUAGAAUAUUUAUCCAAAUGUUUAUUGCUGGUUUUGUUGUUAUAAAUUGUUUGCCAAUUUAUGAAGCUAUGGUUUUGAGAAAUGAUAAAGGAAGAAUGCCUACAAGGGUCACUAUUUUCUCAACAUUUCUUGCUUGUACUCUCUAUAUGGCAUUUGCUUUUCUUCUAGGAAAUAUGUAAUGGCAAAGUUUAGUGUUUUUUUUUUUAACUUUGAGACCUUUUGUUAUUGUUCUUGUAGUCUUAGUUUAGUUAAGAAGCAAUAUAAGAUUUAGUUGAAAUAUUCAAGAAUAAAAGGAUUAUGUAGAUCUUAUUUAUAUUUUAGUGUAUGUGAAUCAAGUCUGGUAUUUUGGAGAUUAAUUAGUGAUCUUUUUUCAAAUUUUGAUCUUCUAUAUCCACAAACUCUUUUUUGUCUAUAUUCAAACAAAAUUUCAAUUUCAUUCUGACGGUCAUAUUCCUUAUCAAAAUAAAUAAAAAAGGUUUUCAUAUUUAAUGUCAUUCUAAAGUUCGUUCUAUAUAUAAAUAAUAUCGAGAUUAAAAUGAAGUUAUAGUUAGACCCCACAUCCGCUUUCUUGGAAUUAACUGAUAGGCACUUAGUUUUUCAUAGAACAAGCGAAAAAUGACAUGCAAAAUCAAACAAGGCAAAAAGAUGGUGCAUAAAAUCCCCCCACCUCACCAAAAAGUAAAAAAACUUGGUGCUUGCUCGUGACACAUAGGGCUUGCUUUUCGUGAUUAGUGUGAAAUAGAUGUUAGACUCAAUUCAUCAACAAACAGAAGGAUACAACAUCACUCUCGGAAUAAAAGACGACAGAAUUUGACUACCCUAAGCUAGAGGACUUGACGGACCUACUCCUAUCAAAAAGCGAGACUUUACUAAACAUGCAAGAAAGGUGAGAAUAGUCAAUGAAUCGGAAGAGGAAUGUUGAUCGCCUUAGUUUGGUUUGCCUUCUCAUCCAGCUUAAGAUCGGCCAGAUGGGCUUUUGCUUUGUUUACUCGGAGUUCUUUCCGUCUAGUCUGGUUUGCUUCUUUGCGUCACUCGCGGAGUUCUAGUUAGGUGAAUUAUAUCUAUUAUAUCAAGAUUUCUUUUUUGAGUCCACUAAAAGCCCAUUUAUGGCACGUUUAACCCAUUGAAGGGCUUGACUCUUGUGGGAUGGGAUGUGCUCAGCCGCCUCCAACUUUUUCUGUGGUCUUCUAACACAAAAAGAAGAAUAUUUUGGUCUUUGAAGGAAUGAAAAAAAGGAGAGACUGGUAGAGCUCCUCUUUGUCAGCCUUCUAGCUCAUUUUAAAGCGUUGAAGAGAGAGAUAGGACAUUCUAAGCACCACCUCAAAGGACGGACCAAAAACACAAAAUUGACAAUUUAAGUUUUAACUUAUCAUUGAAUCUUUUCAUCAAAUAGUAUAACAGGAAGCUUAUCAUUUUUGAGCAUCCCCUUUACAUCUACAUCACCCUACAAAACAAGAAAACUAUCAGCAAACUUUUCAUGGUUUCUUGAAAAAAACAUGAAAAUUCAAAGCUCAUUGUUCAGACUCUCCAAAAACGCUCUUUUACUCAUGUUACAUCCUUCAAAAAAUAACACUACUAUUUUGUGAGGAUCUAACACACACCAAUCGAUAUUUUUGAAAAGUCUGAGUAGAAAAAGAAAUCAAAAAGAGAAACUAACAUGAAUAAUAACUUAGAUUUGAAUUUCUUGGAAGUAUUACAAGAGGGGAAUUAGAACCAAUAGAAGCUCUUCUUUUGAGAUAAAACAAGUAAAACAAAAGAAACAAGAUUAUAGAGAAAAAAAAUGGAAUUGAAAAAAUGAAAGCUUGAUAAAGUUUAAGUUCAUGUGCUUGAGGAUACAAAUGAGGUGGACUAGGAGAUACAGGUACCCCAUUGAAAAAAAUAAUUAAAUUAGACACUUAAAACUAAGUUUAAUGAAACAAAAAAAAGAAGAAGAAAGAUUAUAAGUUAUAAGCUUAAUAUGUAUAUAGAAACCUUACCUUAUAGCUUUUAUAUACAAAUCAAGAACAAGAAAAUGAAAAAUAAAGUGAAAAAAGUACACGUAAUAAUAAAUAAAAGUUUAUAAUAUAAUGAACAUGUAAAAAUAAACAGAGAUAAUAUUUUGGAAUCCUUUCUAUAAAUAGCACUCCUCUCAUCACAAUAAUCUAUCACUCUAUCAUCUACUCUAAUAACACACUUCAAGCAAAAAUGGAAACCAUCACCACCUCCGCCGCCGUCACCACCACCGUUAACACCGGCGGUCUUCACUCCGUCGAGAUGAAUCCAUGACACCACAUCCUCAACCGCGCAUUUGCACUUAUUUACCUUUUUGCCAUCGUAGUUCUUUUCCAUAACCAUAUACUAAACCUCCUAAAUUCCACAAAUUCCUUUAUAACUUUCUCUAUAUCAUUUUCCAUUUUAAUUUCAGAUUUAAUCUUAGCCUUCAUGUGGACAACCAGUCAACCUUUUCGUAUGCGUCCACUAACACGUCAACAAUAUCCCGAAAAAAUAACAAAAAACUUUAGUAACGAAAUUAAUAAUUUUCCAGCACUCGAUAUAUUUAUUUGUACGGCAGAUCCUUAUAAGGAGCCACCGUUAGACGUCGUUAACACGGCGUUAUCAGUUAUGGCCUACGAUUAUAAUCCGAUCGAAAAAAUAUCGAUUUACGUAUCGGACGAUGGAGGAUCGGAGCUUACGUUAUUUGCUUUUAUGGAAGCUGCAAAAUUUGCUGCAUAUUGGUUGCCUUUUUGUAGGGAAAAUAAAAUAAUUCAAAGGUCUCCAGAUGCAUAUUUCAAUUCUAAUUACACAGAAAAUUCGGAGACAAAGAAAGUCAAGGUAUGUUUUUUUUCUCUCGAAUUUAUAUCACUAAACAAAACGUCUUUAACAUCUAGUGAUUUUUUUAAUUAAUAAUAGAAAAUUAGUUGAUUAUGAUGUUUGGAUUUUUCAAAAAUAUAUGUUGGAUAUUCCUUCAAAAAUAUAUUAUUACUACUUCAAUAUGAUAUUUUUAACAAUUCGAGCAACACUGUUGUGUUCGAAAGUGAUUAGGGCGUCAUGUGGAAGCUUACAAUUGCAAAUCAUAUGAUUGAUAAAUUAGACGACAAAUAAAAGUAUAUAUACUAAAAACAUAUUAUUAAUAUAGUUGGUCAACCAACCUACAUAUUAUAAAACUAAUAUUUCAAUUUAUAGAUCUCUAAACUUUCCUCUAAGGAAAAGAAUAAACCAAAUAUGAAGGAAAAUAUAAUUUUCUUUUCAAAAAAAGUUAAAGUAUUUAUGGUAAUAUUUUGAUUUUCCUUCAAGAAAAGAAAUAAAUUUCAAAUAAGGUAAGAAAAUCAGGACAAAACCCUAACACAUAGGAAACGAGGGCACUGUUAUUUCUGGCAUGUGCGAUAAAUUUGUUGUCUAUCGCAAUUAUUGAUAAAGGGACAUAUAGGUUUGGUACGAUCGAUUAUGGACCACUAUAAAUAUUAUUUUAGUUAUAUUAUAUGGUCUUUUCUAUAUGAUGUAGGGUCCCAAAUUAAUAUAUAGGCCUAAGUCAUCUGCGGCCCCUUAAAGUUGUCCGCAUAAUUCAUUUAGACACCUCAACUAGGGUGAGUACCUAUUGAACACUUUAACCUUAAGAAAUUUAUAUCUAUUAGACACAAAAUGAUAAUCAGUUGAAAAACAAAACUGCGUGUAACUCAAAUGCAAAUAUAUAAUAGGUGUACCAAUGAAACAAUGACACGUGGCGGUUGAAUUCAAUUAAAAAAAAUUCUAUUUAAAUAUUCCAAAAAGAAUUUAAGAAAAUAAAAAUUAACUCUUUUAAUUAACACCCCCACCAUCCAUACGUCUUCUUCUUCUUUUUCGUGUUUAGACCGUUUCCCCUUUCCGUCGGCGCCGACACACAAAUAAAUCAUCGCCCCACUCUUUCAUUCCCUUUCAUAGGCAGCACCUCCUACCAUUGCCAUCAUUUUCUUUCGAUUAAUAAAUAUUUAUCACAGUUACAAGAAUUAAUAACAAUUUUUUGCCUGAAAAUAAUUGAUUCAGUUUUCUUACAUCGAAAUAAAUGGAGUUUCGCCGGAAUAUUUGAAACCUGAAAAAAGAAGAAAAAAAUAGAAGAAUAAUUGGANNNNNNNNNNNNNNNNNNNNNNNNNNNNNNNNNNNNNNNNNNNNNNNNNNNNNNNNNNNNNNNNNNNNNNNNNNNNNNNNNNNNNNNNNNNNNNNNNNNNNNNNNNNNNNNNNNNNNNNNNNNNNNNNNNNNNNNNNNNNNNNNNNNNNNNNNNNNNNNNNNNNNNNNNNNNNNNNNNNNNNNNNNNNNNNNNNNNNNNNNNNNNNNNNNNNNNNNNNNNNNNNNNNNNNNNNNNNNNNNNNNNNNNNNNNNNNNNNNNNNNNNNNNNNNNNNNNNNNNNNNNNNNNNNNNNNNNNNNNNNNNNNNNNNNNNNNNNNNNNNNNNNNNNNNNNNNNNNNNNNNNNNNNNNNNNNNNNNNNNNNNNNNNNNNNNNNNNNNNNNNNNNNNNNNNNNNNNNNNNNNNNNNNNNNNNNNNNNNNNNNNNNNNNNNNNNNNNNNNNNNNNNNNNNNNNNNNNNNNNNNNNNNNNNNNNNNNNNNNNNNNNNNNNNNNNNNNNNNNNNNNNNNNNNNNNNNNNNNNNNNNNNNNNNNNNNNNNNNNNNNNNNNNNNNNNNNNNNNNNNNNNNNNNNNNNNNNNNNNNNNNNNNNNNNNNNNNNNNNNNNNNNNNNNNNNNNNNNNNNNNNNNNNNNNNNNNNNNNNNNNNNNNNNNNNNNNNNNNNNNNNNNNNNNNNNNNNNNNNNNNNNNNNNNNNNNNNNNNNNNNNNNNNNNNNNNNNNNNNNNNNNNNNNNNNNNNNNNNNNNNNNNNNNNNNNNNNNNNNNNNNNNNNNNNNNNNNNNNNNNNNNNNNNNNNNNNNNNNNNNNNNNNNNNNNNNNNNNNNNNNNNNNNNNNNNNNNNNNNNNNNNNNNNNNNNNNNNNNNNNNNNNNNNNNNNNNNNNNNNNNNNNNNNNNNNNNNNNNNNNNNNNNNNNNNNNNNNNNNNNNNNNNNNNNNNNNNNNNNNNNNNNNNNNNNNNNNNNNNNNNNNNNNNNNNNNNNNNNNNNNNNNNNNNNNNNNNNNNNNNNNNNNNNNNNNNNNNNNNNNNNNNNNNNNNNNNNNNNNNNNNNNNNNNNNNNNNNNNNNNNNNNNNNNNNNNNNNNNNNNNNNNNNNNNNNNNNNNNNNNNNNNNNNNNNNNNNNNNNNNNNNNNNNNNNNNNNNNNNNNNNNNNNNNNNNNNNNNNNNNNNNNNNNNNNNNNNNNNNNNNNNNNNNNNNNNNNNNNNNNNNNNNNNNNGAAGAAAAAAAUAGAAGAAUAAAUUGAAAGGGAGAGAGAGAAAGUUGGAGGGGUGGGGUGGCAUGAGAGGCAACUGGAAAGUACAGAGAUGGUGGAAUGAUGUUGGAUGAAAAUCGUUGAGGCAUCAUCCUGUGAAGAAGAAGACGCCUUGCUUUUUUUUAUAUUGUUAGUUAAUUUUUUUUUUUGGUUUCUUUAUUAAUUAAUGUCAAGGGUCAAUAAAGCAAAAAAAUGUAUUUUUUCAGGAAAAAGAAAAAGGAAAAUGUUAUUUGGGCAUCUUCACGCACCCAUGGAAAGUGAAGAACACUUUUUUUGCCACAUCAGUAUUUUGUGCUUAAUAGAUACACGUUUUGAAUAUUUUAGGUGUUCAAUAGGUACUAGCUUUAGUUAAGGUGUCUAAGUGAAUUAUGCGGACAACUUUAAUGGGCUGCAGAUGACUUAGGCCUAAUAUAUAUGUGGUAGGCUGGUAGCUUUCGCUUUCGGGAAGUUGAUUUGUCUAAUUUAUGAAGUAAAAUCGAGUUUGAUUAAAUUAAUAAUUAAAAUUUAUAAAAUAUUUAAAAUCUAUACGAAUAAUAUUGUAAGUUGUAAAUUUUUCUCAUGUCAGUAUGACGAGAAUAUAUUUUAUAAAAAUAUUUAUCAAAGUUCACAUAGUUUAAGUCUCGAAAAAAUAAAAGUGUUACAGAAAUUGAAACAUGAGGAUUAGUAACAUAUGAUAUAGUAAAAUGUACAUAAAAUCUUUAUAAAACCAUUUCCUUUUCUAUUUAAUUAGAUAUAAUUUGUGAUAGGAAAUCAUGAUUCUCGCUAAGGGAAAUCAUGAUUCACGAAUAAAAUAUUUUUCCUUUUAUCUUACAUCAUAUCUCGUAUUUCUAUAUAUUUUCAUUCGUUGAGAAUUGAAUUACAUCGUAUUUUAAUCAAUAUUUUAAAAUAUAGUUACACAAGAAGAUAAGCAACUUGCAAUUUAAUUGACUAGUAUCUGGCCUGAGUUGAUUCAUCAAUUAUCUGAAUAUAUUUCAGGUAUAUAUUGAUUUGUGAUUUUGGUUUUGUAUUCAAUCCUUCUGACGUUAUAGCUAAGACAAAAAAAAAAUAGAUAUUUUCUUUAAUUUGUCAUUAUUCAUUUAAAAAUCUCAAAAUAACUAAACUAGUAUAUAUUAUAUGCUCAUAUGUCAUGUUUCAUUUUUUGUUAUAAUGUAUUUGACUGAUAAAUUUUGCCAAUAAUAUUGGAGCAGCUCUUAUAAGGACACCUUAUAUUAUUUUAAGAAGUCAUAAAACCCUUUUAUAACUAUACUAGAAUCUUAUCUCGUGUUAUAUAAGAAAAAUAAAAUUAUUUUUUUCUUAUGUAAGUACAUUAUAGAACUAUGACAUUAGAAAAUAGUAAUAUUUUUACUUAUCUUUUAGCGUGACUCAAGAUAUUAUCAAGAAAGAAUUUUUUCUAUUAUUUAUCUUAUUUCCGAAACGAAAUCAAACUAUAUGUAAUUUUUAUUAUAUGUGUAGUUGAUGUACGAAAACAUGAAGAAAAGGAUAGAAGAAGUGAUUGAGAGGGGAAAAGUGGGUGAAGAUUUUAUUGACAAUGAGGAAGAGCUUCAAGCUUUUACCAAAUAUUGGACGCUUGGAUUUACUCGUGAUAAUCAUCCUUCUAUUAUUCAGGUAAAUAUAUAUAUAUAUAUAUAUAUAUAUAUUGUAGUUGUUCAAUUGACUCGUAAUAUUAUCAUAUUGAACUUAAUUCUAUAUGAUUUUAAAAUCUGUCAAUAUAAGACUUGUCUAGGAUAUCACAUAUAUUUCCCUUAGAGACUCGGUAAGAUUUACCCCAUGCACCAUCAUCGCAAAAAUGUAGGAUUCAUCUAAAAGAGUAUUGGUUUAAAUAUCAUCUAUAACAGUUCAAUCCACUAGUGAUAUUGUCGAUUUGAAUUCUACACUUGUACAAUUUUAAAAUGUGUCACAAUAAAAAGUACAACAAAAAAAAAACUAAUUAUCUAUUAAUUAAAAAUGCUUAACACGUGUUGCCAAAUAGUCUAAUUUGCCUUUAAUUGUAAACAUGUUAUUUAACAUCAUAUGUGUGGUUAUUGAUUUGGUAAUAUCAUCUAUUUAACUUAUCCUUUUAUCAAAUUGGUUGGUGUAGGUUUUGUUAGAAAGUGGCAAAGAUAAAGACAUGACAAGUCACGGGAUGCCAAAUCUUAUUUAUUUUUCAAGGGAAAAAAACACAAGUUCCCCUCAUCAUUUUAAAGCAGGUGCCCUCAAUGCAUUGGUAAGUAAAAAAUCUCAUCAAUUUUACUUUACACAACAAUUUUUAUUCAUAAAAUUAAGGGAAAAGGAUAAAUAUAUCCCUCAACUUUGAGAUACGUCAUCGUUUAACAAAUGAUGCAUAUUUACCUUUUUAUUAACAAAUAUAUAUUUACUAAAUUAAAAAUAAUAAUAAUCAUAAAAUAAAUUGUUAAAUCUAAAAACAUCAUGUUAGCAGUGAGGGUAUAUAUAUACCAUUUGUUUCGACGAACGAUAUAUAUACAUUCUAAAUAGCAAAAUCGAGGAAUAUAUUUGCUUCUUUUUCCCUAAAAUAUUAUCGAAUUGAUUAUUAAUUUCUUCUUGUGUUAGCUUCGAGUAUCGGGAAUUAUGACAAAUGCACCAAUAAUAUUGACACUUGAUUGUGAUAUGUACUCUAAUGAUCCAUCAACGCCACAACGGGCUUUAUGUUACUUCUUGGACCAAACAUUACGGCCCAAUUUAGCUUACGUUCAGUUUCCUCAAACUUUUCAUGGGCUUAACGAAGCAGAUAUUUAUGCAAAUGAGAUAAAAGCCCUAUUUUUUACUAAUCCAAUGGGCAUGGAUGGGCUUAAUGGGCCUAAUUAUGUUGGAACUGGAUGUUUUUUUCGUCGUCGGGCUUUUUAUGGAACUCCAUCUUCGUUCAAGCAGCCCGAAAUUCCAGAACUUUUUCCAGAUCAUAUUGUGAAUAAGCCCAUUAAGGCCCAAGAAAUUUUGCGGCGAGUCCAUUAUGUAGCAAGUUGCAACUAUGAGAGUGAAAGUAUUUGGGGUUCCAAGGUGAGCUUUAGUUCACAUUUUAAGUUGGUAAAUGUAGAGUAUAAUUGCACUAGCAACUUGUUUUUCGUGGCAAUUGGUUCGAAUUUUCCACGUGAUAUAUCUAGUAUACAUGGUAUAUUCGAACUCAUUCCCAUGAAAAAAUUGUUGGUACUUGAGGAAAUAUGAGUAUAAUUGCACUAGCAACUUCUUCGUGGCAAUCAGAUCGUACUUGCCACAUAUGUUAGAUCUUGUUGCCACGAAAAAGUUGCUAUAUUAAAUCUCCUUUGCUAUAAACUAACAAUUUCAAAAUUAUGCAGAUGGGGUUUAGGUAUGGAUCACUUGUUGAGGAUUACUACACAGGUUAUAGACUUCAAUGUGAAGGUUGGAAAUCAGUAUUUUGCAAUCCUAAAAGGCCUGCAUUUUUAGGAGAUAUACCAAUUUCUCUGUAUGAGGUGGUCAGUCAAAACAAGAGAUGGAAUGUGGGCCUUCUUGAAGUUGCUCUCUCAAAAUAUAGCCCAUUAACUUUUGGGGUUCAGUCCAUGGGCCUUGUUAUGGCCCAUUGUUAUUCUCACUAUGCAUUCUCUCCCAUUUGGUCAAUACCACUUACUCUAUAUGCCUUCAUCCCUCAACUUACUCUUCUCAAUGGGGUUACCAUCUUUCCAAAGGUAUGCAUGCCCUUUUGAUAUAUGACUCAGCAUAUUUAACGUUCAAUUAAUUAAGUUAUGUGUUUCGGUUCCCUUUCAUGUAGAAAAUAUAUUAUAUUAUCGUCAUUUACAAAGUAACACUACAUAUAUAUAUAGAGAGAGCAUAGCACAUGACUUAAGUGGUGGAACGACUAAUCUUAUGGUAAAUUUGUGGAUAUUGACAAGCAGAUGAAUAAGAAGUCUAAUUUAUUUAUUUUGAAGGUUUAAUGUUCUUUUUAUAUCGAUUUCAGGUUUCAGAUCCUUGGUUUUUCUUGUAUGUUUUUAUGUUCCUCGGAGCGUAUGGACAAGAUUGCUUGGUUUUUAUGUCUAAUGAAGGGACAUUUAAAAGGUGGUGGAGUGACCAAAGAAUGUGGAUGAUAAGGGGAUUAACAUCUCACUUAUUUGGAACAAUUGAGUACUUAACUAAACACUUAGGCAUAUCGACACAAGGGUUCAACGUAACAAGCAAAGUAGUCGAUAAUGACCAAGGUAAAAGGUAUCAUCAAGGAAUUUUCGAGUUUGGGGUUGUUUCGCCUAUGUUUGUGAUACUAGCAACUACAUCAAUCAUCAAUUUAGUAGCAUUUCUCAAAUCAUUAGCACAAAUUAUCAACGGUGAUCACAAUUUGGAUGGAAUAUUUAUCCAAAUGUUUAUUGCUGGUUUUGUUGUUAUAAAUUGUUUGCCAAUUUAUGAAGCUAUGGUUUUGAGAAAUGAUAAAGGAAGAAUGCCUACAAGGGUCACUAUUUUCUCAACAUUUCUUGCUUGUACUCUCUAUAUGGCAUUUGCUUUUCUUCUAGGAAAUAUUUAGCAAAACUUUGGGACUUUCUGGUAUUGAUCUUGUAGUCUUAUUUCUUAGUUUAGUUAAGAGGCAAUAUUACAUUUAGUUGAAAUAUUCAAGAAUAAAAGGAUUAUAGAAAUCUUAUAGAAUGUUGUAACUCUUUAUAUUUGGUGUAUGUGAAUCAAGUCUUGUUUUUUGGAGAUUAAUAAGUGAUUUUUUUUCAAAUUUUGAUUUUCUAUAUCUACAAAAAGAAAUUCCGUCCAUGUUCUAACAAAAUUUCAAUUUCAUUCUUUCGGUCAUAUGUCUUAUCAAAACUAAAAAAAGAUUGUCAUAUUUAAUGUCAUUCUAAAGUUGUAUCUAUAAACUAUAUACUCUAAUAUGCAACACUUUUGUGUGCCUUACAAAUUCCAAGAAAUGCAACAAAACUAGGCAGUCCUUCAAAUUCUCCUUUUCUUUAAAAGGAAAACUUGGAUCAUUUCUCGAUUUGUGUGAGUCAUCUUUGUGCAGGGACCACACAGAUCUUCUCUGUAUCAUUUCAAUUUUAUCUGCGAUUGACAUUCAUGUGUCAGGAGCCUUAUCAAUGUUGAUAACAUGAGUUUCUACAUUUGAAAAAUCUCUCUCAAUAUUGUCAACAAUGCUAGAUGAUGAGCUACUAGCACUAGACAAUUCUUCAACUAUCACCACCACAUGUUGCUCAUGCUCCUCUCUACUAACCGUUAUAUCGUGGUGUUCCCUCUCCUCCUCGAUGACACUCGAAGGGUUGUUAUUAGAAGGUGGUUGUUGUGGAGGUUGCGGUUUUUUGUUGGUAACAAGGACAUGGCAUCGACAGAGUGGACAAGAGAAAUUUGAACGAAGCCAAUGGCGUAUGCAUUCAACAUGAAAAAUGUGCUUACAAGAAGGUAGUUGGUGUAACUCCUCUUUGAUCUCAAAUUCUCCCAAACAAACACAACACCUGUGAAAUUUUUCGUCGUAAUGUUAGUAAAUAACAAUACAACAACAACGUCUCAGUCCCAAACUAGUUGGGGUCGACUAUAUAUAUGAAUCCUCUCUGUUUCAUUUUAGUAUAGAAUGACAAGUAAAACAGAUUUCUUGAAGUAGACUUUUUUACCAUAACUAGUUUUACUUCUUUUUAUUUCACAUAGAUUUCAGGGGCAAAAGCUUUUUCGAGACCAACCCUAACAAUAUCUAGAUUGAAAUGAAGUUAUAGUUAGACCCCACAUCCGCUUUCUUGGAACUAACUGAUAGGCAUUUAGUUUUUUGUAGAACAAGUGGAAAAUGAUGUGCAACUUUAAUCGAGGUUAAAAGGUAGAGCACAAAAGCCCUCCACCCCACCAAAAAGUAAAAUACUUGGUGCUUGCCCGUGACAUAUAUGGCAUGCUUUUCGUGGUAACUAUGAAAUAGAUGUCAGACUCAAUUCAUCAGGAACCGGAAGGAUACAACAUCACUCUCGGAAAAAAAGACGAGAGAAUCCUCCCUUUAAUUUUGACUAUCAGGACUUGACGGGCCACUUCAUAGGACGGGCGGAAAAAACAUGAAUUUGACAAGUAACACAAACAAAAAUUUUAAAGUUAUAACUUACUGAGAAUCCUUCAUCAUUGAAUCUUCAUCAAAUAGUAUAACAGGAAGCUUAUAAGUCUUGAGCAUCCCCUUUACAUCUACGUUACCCUACAAAACAAGAAAACUUUUCAUGGUUUCUUGAAAAAACAUGAAAAAUUCAAAGCUACGUUGUUUAGACUCUCCAAAAACGCUCUUUUACUCAUGUUACAUCCUUCAAAAAAUAACACUACUAUUUUAAGAGGAUCUAACAUAUCAGUCAAUAUUUUUGAAGAGUCUGAACAGAAAAAGAAAUCAAGAAGAGAAACUAACAUGAAUAAUAACUUGAUUUGAACUUCUUGGAAGUAUAACAAGAGGGGAAUUAGAACCAAUAGAAGCUCUUCUUUUGAGAUAAAACAAGUAAAACAAAAGAAACAAGAUUAUAGAAAAAAGUAUUGGAAUUGAAAAAAUGAAAGCUUGAUAAAGUUUAAGUUGAAGUGCUUGAGGAUACAAAUGAGGUGGACUAGGAGAUUCAGGUACCCCCAUUGAAUUAUUUUUUUAAGUAGACACUUAAAACUAAGUUUAAUGAAACAAAAAAAAAGAAGAAAGAUUAUAAGUUAUAAGCUUAAUAUGUAUACAUAAACCUUAGCUUAUAUAGCUUUUAUAUGCAUAUCAAGAUCAAGAAAAUGAUAACAAAGGGUGAAAAAAGGAUGUUUUUAAUUGAGAUUUGAAAAAUGUGAAGUGCUUUUUUGGAAUCAAAUUAAGUGAUGAAAAUUGUAUGAUUACUUUAUUUACACUUUUUAAUUGAUGUGACUUGUUCAUAACUUCCCACUAAGAUUUUUUUAAAUAUAUAAAAACGAAAAGGUCCCUCAUUCCACUCUCUCAUGUUUUCUAAAUUUUUUUAGCACAAGGUUCAAUCAUAGUUCUCCCACUGGGAACAGAUAAAUAAUAUGAUAAUUAUAAACUUUGUCACUUACCUUAUCGAUAUAUCAUUUGAAAAUCAUAGGAUUGCAUAGUGUUCCAAAUAUCUUAAUUUUACCUAAUGUUACAUUAGGGACCAUUCAUUCUCUUGUUGCUAGUCCGUCCUCUCGUAAUUUCUGAUUUUAAUUUUAAUAACAUUUAAAAUAAAGUAAAUUUCAUGAUGUCAAAAUAUUUUGAUUAAAAAAUUAAGACUUACCCACUACUUCAUCGAUCCGUUAUACUUCAAAGAACAACUUUCACAUAUAGCAAACAUAAAAAUCAUAUUUGUAUGUUAUAGCUAUAGUUUGCAUAAUUGCGCUCCAUAACAAAUUUUAUGUUUGCUAUGGAGCUUUUGAUUUGUAUAAUUCGCUAGAUACAUCCAAUUUUAUACAAAUUGUUCAGUUUUGUAUAAAUUAAUUUAUACAUUGUAAUUUGUAUAAUAAGAUUUGUAUUUGUAUAAUUAUAAGUGUAUAGGACGCAAAUAUAUGAAUUUAUAUUUGUAUAUACACUUUUCUCUCGCUUUAUACAAACACAAACGUAUUUUGUACAUUUUAUACAUGUGUAUACCGAAUAGGUAAUUGUAUACCGAAAAUGGCUAAUUGUAUACCGAACCAGAUGACAAAAAGGGAUAUUUGCUGCGAAUUACAAAUAAGAUAAACUAUGACUAUAACAUUUAAUUUGAAUUAAUAAUUUGCUAUUUCAUACAAUUUUCCCUAUUUGAAAUUAGAACUUUGUUAGGAUCAAAAAACAAAUACGAUAGUAACUAAUUAUCGAUAAAAGUAUAAAUAGUUCUUAAGUAUAAAAGAGGGUGAAAUUAAGAUAUAGAUGUAAUUCAAUUAUUAUCUUUACACUUUUCACUAAAGUAAAAACAAAUAUCUGUCUUUCUUACAAGUCAUUUCACUUUUGACAAGACUCCCACACAAAACAAGUUUUUUUUAUUUAUGAUUUGUUUAGAAAGUUUGAUAAUCAAUCAACUUCAUUAGAUAGUCAUUAAGAUGGUGAGCACUAAUCAGAUAAGCUUGACAACUUUCAAAAUCUCAUUGGAAAUGGAAGAUAAAAAAGUCUUUUUUAUAUAAAGUUAAGCUCGUUUAAUUUGGUCAAGCUUUUCAGAAAUCUAAAAUAUUUUUUUAUUUAUUUAAAAAUAUUUAAUUUAAAAAAAUCGAGAUAAUUAGUUUUAGUUUUGGUGAAAACAAGAAUUUUUGUUGAUUAUAGAGAGCCUGAGCAAGUACCUUAUUGAAAAGCGUAUAUAACUUACACUCAAUAAUUUUCUUUUGAAGAAAUUAUCUUUAAUUGAGUACUUCCUAAUAACUUAUGUUUAGCCAAGCUUACAGAAUAUUGAAAAUAUACUUUUGAACAGUAGUGAUUUAUAUUUAACUAAUUAAUUAGAAUAACAUUUUGUGCUUGAUUAAAUCCCUUUAAAAAAGCUACUUGCUUCUCAAAAAUACUUGUUUGUUUUCUCUAAAAGUGUCACAUGAAAAUAAAUUAUUUAUUUUUAUCUAAAUUCUAAUCUAGGGUGGGCGUUCGAUUUUUCGGUUCGGUUUAAUCAAAUUUCAGUUCGGUUUUAGAAAAGUGUGCACCAUAUUUCAUACCAAACUAGAUCCGUUCGGCUCGAUAUUUUCUACUUCGGAUCGGUUUAGUUCGGUGUUUUUAAAUCGGUUUUUCGAUGUGAAUAAAAAUAAAGAGGGAAUAUGAUAAAGUGUUAAGAGUUUCAUGUGUUUAAUUUAUAAUUAAGAAGACGUUGCAUAGAUGAUUCUUUAACUAGAAGAAUUCAAAUUUUAUUUCUGUUUCUAGCAAAGAUGCCAAAGAAUUUGUUAAUUAGAUGGAUUAUUCACCCUCCUAUGUUGCUACAGAGAUGACCAACUAAAUAUACAACGACAGAAUCAACAAACAUAUGCAGAUAAAUGGUAAAGAGCACACAACAAUUAUCUUUACUCACAAAACAAGGUCUACAAAGACUUGUCCGCACAUUUUUUUUUUAAAAAGCACACAACACCAUCAAACGGCACUAUCUCUUUGGAUACACGAUUCAACACAUUCAAAACAUAGACUUUAGGUCUUUAGGGUUUACACUUUACUGAUUUGUCAUUUAAAAAUUGAAAUGGGCUAGGUAAAUAUUUUGAGUCAAAAUAUAUAAGUAUUAUUAAGUAAUAUAAUUUAAAUAUUUUUAAAUUUAUUUAAUAAAACUUCGAUCCUUCGGUGCACCGUAGUUUUGGGACCCUUACACCGAACUCCGAACCAAAGUUCCGAAAAUAAAGAGCUGACACCGAACCGAAACACCAAAGAACCAAAAUAGUUCGAUUCGAUUUUAUUUUUUGAUUUUUCGAUAUUUAUGCCCACCCCUAAUCUAAACAUUUGGAAUUUAUUCCGUUUGGCAUCAACAAAAUGAGUGGUUCUUCCACAAACUACACUCAAAAGUGUUUUUUUUUUCUUCACAUAAAUGAACUUUUUCUUAUCUAGAAAAUACCUAGCAAUAUAUUUUUAGUACUACUAUACUAUAGUGGCCCCUACAACAUGCAUAGAUUCAUAUGCUCCUAUCACUUGUUGUUGAUUACCAUAAAAAGGGGUCCAUCCAUAACUCUUGAAAUGUCAUAUCAUAUUUGCACUCUCCAUCCACCAAAGCAAGGGAUAUCCUCAAAUAAUAAUAAUAAUAAUAAAACUAAUAACUACGUUUUAAUUCCAAAUUAAAUAGAAUUUUAUAACCAUUUUUACUAUAUUCAUGUCGACUUUAGAAUAUUUAUCAUAGUUACACUACCUUUAUGUUGAUGGAUAGAUAACUUGAUAUAACUACUGAUGAAAGAUAACAUAUAUUCGAUAAAAUAGUUGAAAUGUGUGUAAAUUGACGUGAAUAUUACCGUAUUCCAAAAAGGAAAAAGAACACUAGUAGUGUAUAGGAGAUUGACCUUUAAGUCAAGCCAAAGGAUUAAAACAAAAGGAUUCAAUUUAAUCAUGUGAUCAUAAAGUAAUUCAACUUUACAGAUAUGAAGACAAGUUUAACAAUUGUUAAGAGACUUAUAUGCAUUAGUGGAAGAUCUUGUUUCCUGGUAAUGAGCAUUAGCCGUUGAUGACGGGUUGAUCACUUACAUUAAUUAACUAAUUUAAAUUAGCAAAUUAUUGUUAAGAAAUAUCUUCUCUAUACCCUAAUGUAAAUUUGACUCUACUAGUGAGAACGCAGUGUCUGAAUCAACUUGUGUAAAUUUCAAUUUUUUGUUGCAUACUUACUAUCUUUAUACAAGUUUCAUUGAGUAACUGCUCUACUUACAUUUAGUGGUGAAUGCAGAAUUUCCAUGAAGAGGAUUUAUUAUAUAUCUCUUUCUGAAUAGCGUAGGAUUUCUAAAUCUUAAGAACCGGAAAUCGUUGCCAUGAGCCUUGUAGAUGGGCCAGGUUAGCCGGCUCAAUUAUCUAGACAAGUGGGAGGCUAGCUCCAGCCUCCAUGUAUGCUCCAAAUAAUUUUACUUAUCAAAGACUUAAGGAUACGAGAAUUGAUACUCCAUUCACUAUGAUUUAGAUAAUCUAGGAAAAGUCAUUGAAUAUCUAAUUUUUUUAUUAUUUUCAUCCCACUUUAUUAAUAGUUAAACUUAAGACCUUUGGAUAUAAUUAACCAACUUGCUCUUUUUUUUACGUCUCCAUUUACUAGUAUAUGCUCUUUAUGUCUCCAUUUACUAGUUUUAAAUUUAUAACUAAUCCUUUUCCAACAACUUUACAAAGAUACAAUCUCACUUAAUGUGGGCAUUUUCUUGGAAUAAAUUCAUGUUUAUUGUUUGUGGGGUGGAAAAAGAUCCUCAUAAUUUCCCUAAUCUUUCUAUCAAAGUGGGAAUUGAGGUCAUCCUCAAACUACACCAUUAAAUCAGAUUCUCAAGAUUUUCCAUAAAGCAAAAAAAAAAUAUUAAACUUAUCUAGCAUAUAAAGUAAUCUGACUUUGGAAAAAUUCUUAGCAAUCAACAUAAAAUGACUAUUUUAUGACAUAUAUGUUAAGGUGGAAGCCAACAGUGUUGUCUUAACGCAAUCAAUACAAAAUUUUGAACCAAAUGUCUACAUCAUAACCCACAAAAAUGGUCAGCCUUGCUUUUGGAAGCAACAAAAAGCAAGAAAAUGUUGACCAAUAGUUGGUCCUAAUACUGUCCAAUAUACAAACCAACCACCAAACUUAAAAAGGACAUUGGUGAAGUAUAAGCCCCGGUGAAAGACAAAGGUGGAAAGUGAAGCGAGCUAGUAGCUACAACGAUUCCCCGGAGGGGAAGUCAAAACUAAUGUUCAGGCAAAAAUAUCGGCAACAAUAUGUUGAAUUGGCAGGUUAGUUGAUGAAGAAGUUGGGAAGGUACCAGCUGCCUGUGUGGUGUUAAACCAAGAUGUUAAAGAGAGGGAAGGGGAAAUCGUGAACUAUGAGAUCAAUCCAACUUUCACACAUCUCAACUAAUUCCACGUGGUACCAUCUACCUCCCAUAAGCAACAAUAACAUAUCCAAUGAAAUUCCACUAAUUGAGGUUUAGGCAGGGUAGAGUGUACAUAGACCUUAUCACUACCUCGUGGAGAUAGAGAGGUUGUUUCCAAAAGACUCUCGCCUCAAGCACAAGUACUAAAUAACUCUCCAAAUGGGAAGAAACGACCUGGUGUUUCUCAACCCAUUUCAUUGUCCAUUAGGUCACACUGUUGGGUUACAUUAGUCCACCUUCUCAUGUUAAAAAUUCUCUAUAAUAAUUCAGAGAAAUGGUAAUCUGACUUGACAACCAAAGAUAUCAGAAAAGUAAAAAUGAAGGUAAUCAAGUGCUCAAUAAUGCUACUAUUGUUAUAUUUUAAGAGCCAAAUUGGAGGAUACUUAAGCAGAAUGUAAUGGCAACUUUCAGUAAUAUAAAAGAAUAUUACAAAUUGAUACUGUUUUACUUUGAAAAAGGGUGUAAUUACUUAAACAUCUGAAAGGCGCGAUGAGUAAAACUUGCCUCCUCUCUGUUAUCGUCUUUUACAGCUGAACAGAUGCACAAAUUUAACUAACUAAGCAAACUAGUAUUUUCUUUUCCUAAUCUUGAAAGUGGACGAUCGGAUAACAUCAUCAUCAGUUACCAAUGUUGCCUCAAGGGGUACAAUGGAUUCAGGUUUAGUAAAAUAAGUGAACAGGAGGUAGAUACCGUCCAAGUACGUAUUUGUCUCUCCAGCUUUGUUUUUCCUCCUAAUGCUGUAUGCAAGUGGAAUAACCCCUCGGUUGAAGACCUCCACAUACAUACCACCACCAGCAACCAGCAACUGCCCAAGAGAAAGAAAAACAAAAGAUUAAAACUUGCAUCAUCAAUAGCCAGUACCAUGUGCAACUGAAAUUGAUGGGGGACAAUAUUAGAACUGUUAAAUCCAUAAAACAGUUACGAUAAGUCUAUCAUGUAAGAUUUUAGAUGAGAUGGUCAAAUACUUAAUAUUGCCCCUAACGUGUGGGGUUAUGCCAUUUUUAUGAGUCAAGCAUGUGAAAAUCUGUUUUUGAUAAUGGGUGGCAAUGAGAGCUUGCUCUGAUACCAUGCUAUAGUGAGUUUCUUAUUUUAUUAGACGGAGCAGCUGAUGAAGAACAAAACACAAAACAUGGGAAACAUUGGCUCUUACCAGUGUGUCUAUUUGAUUGACCUGUUAGGCAAAAGCUGAAAUGCAGUAAGUGUUGGAACAAACAUAGAACAAAGACGCAUGUGCCGAUGCUUAACUUCUUUCUCUCUUCUGGUUUAUUGGGGAUUUAACUAAAUGAAAGUUUCGCCAAUCAUUUGUAGGUGAAAGAUGACACAUAGUUUCAUCAACUUUAAGUCGAUUCAUAGAGUGGCGGGUACACAGCCUUACCCCUACCUAGUAAAGGUUGAGAGUUGUUUCCAAUAGACCCUCGGCUUAAAUAAAACAAAACAACAAUCAGUAAGAAAAGGAAAUACAGUAGUGAACGGGUCAUGUAGAAAAUAGAGUUUCAUCAACUUUAAGUACUUUUAUCAUUGUUCCAUGCAGUUUUGCACACGCCUAUUUUUCUGAUAGACGUCGACUAUAACAUCAAAACUGAGAUGGGCAAACCAAAAGACAAUUAUCAUCCAUGUUCACAAGGAAGAAUGAUAAGGUGAUAAUAGUCAUCAGAUCAAGCCUUUUGGACUCGAAAAGCAGUUGGAGAAAAAGAACAAGAUUAAAAUGAAAGUUCUUACAUGGGAACAAGAAGAAUGAAAAUUGUAGCAGAAGCUGAGAGUAACUUUCUUCUUACUUAGACCAUGUCCAUGUCGGCUUAAAUUAUAACAAAUGUUGAAUUAUGCACCGAAACUCUGUUGAGUGUUGUUAGGUCCAAAUAUCAGAUUUUUUCAAAGAAUGGCAUUCUAGUGAGAAGACAAAAAAAAGGAAGUAUAUUCUUGGACAAUCUUGUGCUUAAAUCAAUUGCAAGCUCGAAACUGCUUUUGCUUUCAGGCUUCCACCUCUUAACAGAAAAAGAAAAAAAAACAGUUUUUUUAGCCAAGAGAGGGGAAUGGAAGAAAUUUUCAUCAUGUCAAACCGAAUAUCAAUUACUUGUUCUGUUUCCCUAAUGAUCUCCCUGUUUCAAAUGAGCAUAAUUAUCUCAGUUCACAUUGAAAUCAGCUGAAGAGUAUGUAAAUGAUAUUAUAUGCAGCUCAACUUCUGAUAAAAAUACUUACUCCCUCAGUCCUAAUGUGUGGCACCUUUCACUUCUCAUUCAUGAACUACGACAAACAUAUUAAAAUGUAUUCUUUGCCUUCAGCAUAUGGAUACAAAGAGAAUUACAACAACAACAUAUUCCAGUGAAAUCUCACAAGCGGGGUCUUGAGGCUAGAGUAUACGCAGACCAUACACCUAUAUCUUGGAGGUAAAGAGGCUGUUUCAGGAGCACCCUCGGGAUACUCAGAGAAUUAUAGUACUUUCUCGUACAAAAUGAAUUAGUCUAGUUCAAUUUAUCUCCAAAAGUCAAUCAAAUUGACUCUAAAUAAGCAAGAAGCGCCAAACAAAUUGUGAACAAACAGUAUAUUAGUUUCAAAAAUUCAAUCUUUAGAACUCUCAACUUCAACUCUAAUGCUCAAACAGUCAAAUCAGCAAUUGAAAACUUAAAAUCCACCCAAAUUGAGCAUAGCGCCUUGCAAGUUAUAUCAAUUUCCAAAUACAUAAACAAGCAUUGUUACCUCUUCGUAUUUCUGGGUAAGAGCAAGUCUUUCAUCUUCAGACAUAUCGGGUCUCAAAACCACCAUUGUUUCAUAAGGGCGUAACCCAGGUGGACACUGCGGUUCCUCUUUAUCUUCAACUGCAGAAAUCCCCGACCAUGGUGUCGUCGGUGGCUCAUCAGCAUUUCCUCCCCCGAAUCCACCCUCGAAAAACGAGCCCGAAAAUUCUAGAGUUUGGGCUUUCAAGAUUUGCCCAGAAUUGUUGACCCUUUUGGUGAAACCCUUGAAGUUGAAGGGUAUUGAAGGUUUAGAAGAAGAGAGUGUGGAGGUAAGAGAUGGAAGUACUGAUGGAGAAGAAGAAGAAGACGCCAUUGUUGAGAGAUAAAGUGGAUAAGAAAGAGGAAAUUCACAAUUUUCAGUUCAAAGUUUAGACAUUGGUAAAAUUGUACAAGUGAAAUUUAUUGGUUUUUUUGUUUAGAUACCCUCAAGACUUGUAAAUGCUACUUUACUCCUUUCUUCUUAUUUUUUUGCAAAAUUUCAAGUCAUGGAUAAAAUUUUAUUUUAUUUUCAAUUAAUUGAAAUGGACAGUUUUGAUCGCAAUUUUAUCAUAAAUGUUAAUUGUUCUAUCACUUAAUUAUUCAUAAAAUGUUAAGUUUAUAUUGUUAUUCCAUGUUUGACGAUAGUAUAAGUCUAAAAAUACUUUCAAUUCAAGAUUAAAUGUGUUUAGUUCGAUAUCAUAAGGAUCAAAAUUAAAAUUUACCCCAUUAAGUAGCUAUACAAGGCCAUAUUUAUUUAUUUAUUGGCGGUUUGUUUUUCCUCUUAACUAUGAUAAGGAGGUUGAAGUAAGCAAAGUUUGAAUAAAGAAUUUAGUGAAGAUCUCCUAAUGAACAAGGAAUCGAUUAUACUGUAUUUAGCAUAACAAAAAAAAUAGCACUUUAUGUAUGUUAAAUCAAAUUGCAUUGUUCAUAAAUUCGAGUUAUGUUUGUUGAAUCGAGAAUUGUCAUCUUGUACAUAAUUAUGUUGUUGGCAAAUGGACUUGAUGAACGACUUAUCGCACUUCUACGCAUGAUUCUUGUAGGUUGUAUUUUUAGUCGUAUUCAUUUUUUUGUAAAUGAAUAGACAAUCCAAGAGAGUGACCAAGAAACAACAUACACUUACUAGUUUUUGAGGUUUGGAACCCUCCUCGAUUCAUUUGACUCGAGGAGAGACUUCAAGGGACAAGCAUCGCAUCUAGGUAAGCAAUGUCUAAUUGAAUAGAUCAAUUGGAUCUUCCAUUUAUGAAAAUGGAAGAUAAAAAGAAUAAUUGGAAGUUUGCAAUAGAAGUGGAAGCAUGUGCAAUAUUAAGUAUAUCCACAAAACAAAGAAACUCUAUACAAUAUUGGCUUAUGAGUUAUGACAUACCCCAAGUAGUGUACCUCCAUAGGCCCCAGCAAGUGUACCCCCACCUUAGUGAAGGAGCACCCAAAACAGGGUCUUAGCAAAAGUUACUGGGUUCGUCAGAACCCACACUUAGCACACUAGCUCCGCUCCUGAUCAGGACUGUAGUUAAAAGGGUAAGUUACAAAUGAAUGACGAACCCCCAAAAUCAAGUGCUUAGAAUGCAAGCAAAUACAAGAUAAAGUGCAGUAAAUUCUGAUGAUGCUCUCAAGUAGCUCUAUGUCGAAAAUUCCAGGUAAGGUAACUCUCAAGGCUAGAAGAAUUUUCAUGAGCAGCAAGGUAUAUUCUAUUUCUACCCAUGAAAUUACAACUAUGCUAGAAAGAUCAAAAUUCCUUCACAAGGCAUGCAUACACAUCACCCUCCCCAAACCUGACGGGAUUACACUAGGUAUGUUGUUUUUUGUUGCUAGAAAGAUCAAAAUCAAUAGUCAAGAUAAAGUUUAAUUCCAGUCUCUUUUGACCCCUCAUCACUCUCCUAGAAGCAUUCAGUAUUCAGAACUACUAUCUACAUCUACACUAGUAAUAGGUCUUACAUCAGUAUCUACAAAAAACGAGUUCUUUCUCCUACACAUGGUUAAUAGGGAGAAGUAAAAGAACGAGUAACUGAGCAAGAGUAGCCAAGAGGCCAUUAUAAUUCGAACUUGUCACACUGAAGAUCAAAUAUUUAGCAUUUCUGUCCCCUUAGCUAUUCUGUGAAGGGGGUACACAAGUUCUACACUGGCACAUCUUUAACAAGCUUAGAAGCUGGCAGUCGACAUAUGAAACUACAUAACAAGGUUCAGGUUUUUCUAACAAUGAAAGGUUAAAGUCAAAGACAGGGGCUUUACUCAUCAUCAUUAGAAUCCUAACUACAAGACUCCCUUUCAUCACAAGAAUUGGUUUCACAUUAAAACAACAUCCUGAUAAGCAAAUGCUAAGAAGAGAUGGACAGUAUUCCACAUGUAUUCAAAAAACUGCAGAAACUACUAUGCAUAGGUAGUUGAACUGAUGACCUAUUUUACAACAGUUGUUCACGAAGACUGAAAAACAAUUCUUAAUCUAGAACUAAUAGAAGAAGAUCAGUUUGUAUCAGGGUUUCGAACAAAAUGUGACUAGACUUGCGGCUUUUCCUCAAGGAAGCUUCUUCAUCCAUCCAUCUAUGAACUUUCGU
rnacentral:lncRNA from 1 species